CUAAACCCUAAACCUAAAUCUUGCAUACAAAAUUUUAAAACUCUAAUCUUUUAUUAUUUAACUUUAUAUCUUAAAUUUAAUUUUAAAGUCUGAUAUUAAAUCUUAAAUCUAUACACAGAACACUAUAUUCCAAACCUUAAAUUUAAUAUUUUCACAAUUCACUCUUAAAUCUUAAAUUCCAAACUUCAAACACAAUACUCUAAACCUAAACUUUAUACCUCAAACCAUAAAACCUAAACUUCAAAGCUUAUAUCUAAUCUAAAACUAUAUACUUAAUUCAAAUGUUCAAACCAAUAAUUCUAUACCCUAAACUCUAAUUCGUAAACCAUAAUUCCAAUUUAUAUAAUCUAAACAUUAAUAACCAAAUUUAAAUUUUUAAAAUUUAUAUUCAAAUCUAAAAUUAAUUUUUCAAAUUUUAAAUUGUGAAAUCCAAAUCUUUGAAUUUUGUCUCAAAAUAAUUUAUGUAUAUUACAAUAUACUUUGGGUAUUAAAACAAAAAUAGAAUAAGAAUAUAGUUACAAAAAUUUGAUUGGUCAAAACACACUGACCAAUAAUGUACAAGGGCGAGGAUUAGACAUUUUCAACCACAACCGUUGAUUAACCUUAAAUCUAAUGGACAAGGGUGUUUCUUUCUCUCUCCCCUCUUACCUUGUCGUAUUUUUUGUUAUUCUCUUUCAAUUUCUUUUCCAGGUCUCAUUUCUCUAAUCUCUUUCUUCAUCACCACUAAACCUUAUCACCACCAGACCUUGUCUUCGUCUCCACCAAAUCCCGUCGUCGUUACAACUACAGCUCGCGUCGUCACCACCGUAGCUUCGUCCAUCGAGGCGAAGAUGAAGAAGAUCGUUUGACCUCCUCACCACCACGACAUGUAAACUCUCUUCCCCUUCCUUUAUCUGUUCUCUCUUUCUUUUCCCUUCCUUUAUUUUUUAUCUCUUUCUUUUUAUCUUCCUAUAUACUUGUAUUUGAUUUUUGUUUUGUUUACAGAUCUAAGGAGCAGGGAAGGAGAAGAAGUGGUGUUACAGAGCGGUAUCUCCGGCUUCGUCUCUCUCUCUCUCUCUCUCUCCCUCUCUAUAUCUCUCUCUCUGUGUUCUGAAUCCGGUUUUGUUUUUCUGUUCUUAGUUAAAAAAGGCGGAGGAGGCUAAAGAAGGUUGAUGGUGGUGAUCUCGGCGUCAACAAUUGUGGUCUCGGCGUCAACAGUGGUGGUCUCGACAUCAUCAAUGGUAGCUUAGCGCGGCGGAGGAGGCUGAAUAAGCUUUACUGUGGUGUUCUUGGCUGGUGGUCUCGGCCUCAAAGAUGAAGAAACCGAAGGAGCUGAAGUUGACGGCAAAAUGUUUAGACGUAGGGUUAACUUUUUUUUUUAGGUUUACAUUUCUAAACCAGGUUUUGUAAACCAGAAUUUAUUUGUAAACCAGAAUUAAAUUACUAAAUAAAAAUUGAUUUUUAAUUAUAAAUUAGUUGGUCUAUUUAAUUCAAUCAUUAACUAAUUUUUGAUUUAAUUAUAUUUGGUGGGGUUAAAAUUUAAUUAAUUUUUUAUUCCCAUUUAUAAAAGCUAAUAAUAUAUAAAUAUUAACAAUAGCAUAUAAUAUAUUGCUAUCGUUGUUUACUUAAAACAUAAACGAAAACCGCUAUUAAAAGUGUCUGGCCUAUUAUAACGGACGCUGUAAGAGCGGACAAAGAAGCGCUAUUAUACAUGACUCAUAGCGUUUUUUAUCCGCUAUUACUACCCUUAUUUCCUGUAGUGGUGUAAUUCAAAAGCAGAAAAGAGAUCAGAUUAAAUUUCUUACACACGGAGAAACUAUUGUCUUUUACGUGGGAGUGACCCCAUGAAUAUGAAACAUUAUACAAAACCUCAAAAAUCCCAGAAAGCCGAUGGGAUAUGGAUCUGUAUCUGAUGAAGGUAUUAGAAGGAGGAACUAUACGCAGCCAGGAUCUGUAAAAUCAAAAGAAGUGGAAAAGUCAUUAACAAUGUAACACUGCAACAACCCUGUAUCUGCUUCAACUCACGUUAAAUUUAAACAUUUUCUCUACUCACUAUUACCAGCUGUUUCACGGCAAUGUUCCGGCGAAAGGGCAUCUCACACAUCACUAUCUGUCUCAAAUCUCUGCCUCGCAUUCUCAACAAUAUCCUCACCAUUUUGCUCUUCAGUCUCCGUACCACUUUUAUGACAUCAAUUUCUGACAGCUGUAUCUGGCUUACAUGCCACCUUCAUUUCCUAGUCUCCUAUAUAUGGAUUAACCGGAAUCGGAGCUCCGCCUCUUCCUAGCCAGGAGAGUCGUUGUUGAAGAAUUGAGCAAUAGAGCCAUGCCGGUUGAUUUCUCCGUUCUGGAAGUCUGGCACUGGUAGCCAUAUGCUGCUGUGAUUAUUUGGUUAUGGUGAAUUAGGUGAGAAGAAGAGUUUCUGAAUAGAGGUCUAUAUAAGGUUGAGGUUGAGGCUUCAGGGAAUCGUGACAGUUGCAUGGCCAUCGAUUGUUGCAGUCAAUAAUAAAGCUUUAUGACUUGAAUGUGGGAAGCCGCUGUUACAGAGGAGUAAUGAAGAGAUCAAAACUGCAGGAUUACUCGAAGUAAAUGGAAAGACGAAGAGGAUUAGUCGGUCUGUUUACAGAAAGUUUGGGCCAAUGCAUGAAAUAAAACAUUAUAAUAUGUCAAAAUGUCUUCGAGAAAGCCUGAUAUCAAAAAUGUUUUCUUGUGGCUUACAUGUCACCUAUUGAUUGGCUGAUUUUAUUAAUGACGUGGACAGGCUGUCCUUUGAGCAUAUCUCCCUUUUAGUAUUAUUAAAUGAUUUUAUGUAACAUGCAACUUGGUUACAAGUAGCCCAAGGGAACGCUCCUGUGAGAGCCGUCUUCAAGAAGAAUGGUGAACAGAAGCAUGCAGGUUGAGUUAUUGUUGAAUCCAAAUGCUAGUCUAUGCUCAAAGGUUGUCUUACUUUUGAUGAACGUGGUCCUUCCGAUCUCUACUUUGAGGCAUCUUCAUAUACAAACAUAGUCGAGGUCUAGAUCAUUCGCGUAGGAAAACUACUACUUUAAUAUAUUUUUAAGAGAAAAUUGCAAAAAUAAUACUUACGAUUAUUUUUAAAGGGAAGGAUUAUUUGAAAAAAAUAAUUUCUGAUUUUUUUUUCUUUCUGAAAUGUCAAAAUAGACAUUAAAUAUACAUAAAAACUACUACUUGUUGUAUAUCUUAAAAACGAAAAAUUGCAAUAAGAAGACGAAAUUUUAUUUUUUAACACUGGUUUAUGUUUCUUUUUUAACACUGGUUUUAUUAAGGUAAAAUGGAACUACAAUUCCAAGUUAACAGGAGCACAAAUGAGUUCAAACUAAAUUAGAGAAAAGGCCUAUACAAUAGGCAAAACAGAAAUUUAAAUGUAAGGCACCAGUAGGCACCGUUGAUACAACCAUGCUUAGCGGAGGGUAGAGGAGAUUUCCAUUGACUGAAAAACCAUUGACUAACAAACCAAGGAUUUGAAACAGCCUAGAAGUCUACAUAAGAUUCAUGUAAAUCUCUGAUGGAGAUAAAUCUGAUGUAGGAGAGCACGAAGCCAAUGCAGACCUCCCACAACUACUUACACUUUAGACACUUGUAGCAAUAAGGUUAGCUACUUAUUCCUUUCUUCCAAGUGAUGGUUCAGUCUCUCUUCCUCAAAAGAGCUAAAACUCAGUAUCGAAGGACCACCUCAAAUGAAAAACAGAACCAUCUUCACGACUCGAGACACAUAUGAAAGUCAGAGAAGAAUACAGUUCUUAAAUUCCAGAAUCAUCCACAGCUCCAUGCCACCAUAUCUGCACGAGGGCCACCGGAUCUGAAAACACCAUCACGCUUCACCCAUCUCUUCAUAACAGAGAGGAGAAAGCAACAUACAUGGCAGCCAAAACCCAGAAAAAUUGACACAAGAUGUAGCUCUGAUGCACAUACAACACAUCAAACAACACCAAGAUUUAUGUUUUUUUAGAUUUGAAUAUCAAAAAGAAACUCUGUGUACAUGGAAACUGAGAAACUGACCAAUGAUUAUUUUUACUGGCUUAUUUACAUAAACGCUGAGAUUUGGGUGUAUAGCGUCUUGUUACCAUUCACACAAAAGAGUGUAACUCUCAACAUUAACAUGACGAGGAAAAUGAUUUGCGAGGAUCAGAGCCAUAAACAGCUCCGGUGACCAGUGAGCCAGUACCAAAUGCAACCAUCUCCAUCAUACAGAACAGACAAGGGUUCUCAUUGGGGUGCACCGUGGAAAGUAACAUAUUUGGAGACAAGCAUUCCAAAACUGGCUCCUAGCAAGAUUUUGGACCCUCCUACGAUACUGGCCUCUAAUGAGAAUGUAGUUUGGAUUCAUCGUCCUCCGUCUUUGUUGAAAUGCAAUCUGGCUUCCUCAUGGUUGGAGAAUGCGGUCUUGAGUGGAGCUUCUUGGUUUGUGAGGGAUGAGAAUGGUAGGGUGGUGAUGCAUAGUCGUCGUGCUUUCCCCUGUUUAGCCUCUGCCUUAGAUGCUGAGCUUAAUGCUCUUCUCUGGUCUGUGGAGUCUCUCGCAAGUCAUCAUCUGGAUAAUGUAAUCUUUGAGUCCUCGUCUUUGGACCUUCGUCGAGCUUUGUUGCAACCACACCACUUCCCCCAGCAUCAGGCUCUAAUAUCAUUAAUUCUCCAGCGUCUGAAUGGUUUCCAGGCUUGGAGUGCUGAUUUCGUUAAGACUUUGCGAAACCUGCCAGUGCUCUCGAUUGCUACUAGUGUAACUUCGGACAAUAGGCAUCAAUCGUAUGUGGCUUCUGUUGGGCCUUUGUGGUUGCAUAAUCUGUUGCAGAAGGAAGCUUUUACCAAGUCUAUGGGAUUUUACUCCUCUGCUCCUGUCGCUGUGAGAGCUGUUUCUUGAAGUACCUACUCUCUACACGCUCUCCUUUGCUUGCUGUAUCUCCUGCCCUAUGCGGGCUUUCUUCUUCGCUGCCUACUGGUAGUUUCUACUGUCUUGUUUAGUUAUUACUCGUUUUUUCUUUGUUUUAAAGUUUACUGUUUCUUUAUUUAUGCCUCUUUUGAGGUCUGAUACUCAGUUUCCAGUCUCUCCUCUUGUGGAGAGGACUGUUUUUGUCUAAUCAAUGAAAUCCUGUGUUAAAAAAAAAAAGAGAUUCGCCAUGAUAGCUUUCCGAGAUGCGAUGAAAUGGCACAUCACAAAAGUUGUAAGAAGCAAAGAGGUUUACUUAACCACAUACGCGAUGAUAAGAACAUGUCCUUUUUUAUCAUAAACUAGGUGUUUUCCUACACCUUGCGUAGUGAUAAAUUUUUUAAAAUUUAUAUUAUUUUUAAAAAUGAAACUUAUUAAUAUUAUAUAUUUUAUUAUUUAGACCAAAAUUUGAUAUAAAUAUGAUUUAAUUAAGCAUAAAAUUAAGAGAAUAAUAAUUUUGUUUAUUUUAAAUUAUAUUUAAGAAUAUAUGUAUAUAUUUAAAACUAUAAUCUUAGAUAAAAAAAUUUAUCUUUUCUUUUGGUUAUAUAUAUUGAAUCAAGUUGUAUAAACUUACUAAAAAAUCAUAUAAAAAUUAUAUAGUUAUCAAAAAUUAAAGCUAAACAAUAUUCAUAAAAUUUGUAGAUAUCUAAAAGAAACUAAUGAUAUAACGAUUAAAAAUUUAUAAUUUUUUAAAAAACAAAUUGUAGAAAAGUUUGAAAAUUUUAGUAAUAAAAAUUAUAUAAUUAGAAAAGUAAAAUAAAUAAUAUUGCAAAAUUGAUAAUAUAAUAUUUGAGUAUAUUUAUUUUAGUGAUGAUUUAUGAGUUAUUACCAUAUUCUACAAAGUUUACCAAAAAUAUAAAUCAACAUUAAAUGUAGUGUAUGAGUUAUUUCUGUAUUCUAUAAAGUUUACCAAAAUAUAUAUUAACAUUAAAUGUAAUUAUCCAUGUCAUAUUUAACCAUAAGUCAUGUCAUCAAUUUUAGUAGUCAUGUCAUAUUUGUUUUGUAAAAUUGAUUGUAAAAAAUACGUGUGGCAAAUCACUUUUCAAAUAAUGUCUAGGGGAUUUUUAUAGUUUUGAAAAAGUUAUAUUUUUUUCUUAAAGAUAUGUUUUUCAUUUUAAAAACUGCACAGAUUGUUAAAGGGUUCUCAAAAUGUCUGUUGAUAUAUUUUUUUCUAAACAUUUCUAUAAGUUUUUAGUUAGUUAUUGUUUAGUUCAUUUGCAUAUCAAUUUUAUAUGCAUUUAAAGAAUAUUAAAAUUAUCUAAAACUAUUUGGAUAGUUUAACUUCUGGAUAAUAUUAUUAAUUCAUAAUAUUUAUACAUUUAUAAUCUAGUGCAACCAUUGCUGAUAGUAACAUAUUUGGUGAUGGACCAUUACAACUAUGAUUAUAACUAUUGGUAAUGGUAGACUUUAGUUAUCAACCAUUGCACCUUUUGGUGAUAACCAUUAUAAUAAUUGGUUAACCGUUGCAAUGUCGGAUUUUUAAUCACUGCAACCCUCAAAUUUCUAUAUAAAAGUUGUAGGUAUUAACAAAUAAUAAUUAUAAAAAAUGAAGUUACAGAAAUAAAGAGAAAAAUCCAUUUCCAAACUAUAAUCAAAGAUCUUGAAAAAAAUACAUACAAAUAUGAGAAAUUUCAUUUGGUCUUUAUGUAUCUUAGCCAAAAACACAGAAAACUUUAUUUUUCAAACACUUUUCAAAAAAGGGGCUCAUGCGUGAUUUAAUCAUUAUCCAAAUUUAUAAUUCACACAUUCUAUAUUACAACCCCAAAUAAAUAAUACAAUUACUAAUAAUACCAAAAAAAUUAAAAACUAUUUGAAGGUGAAUUAUUUCAUGUUCAAAAUUGCAUAGGUUAUAAUAGAUGUUAAUUUUGUUAGUUGGUUAAUUGUAUUUAUUGUACCUUCCAAAUAAAUAUCUAAAGAUAUUUCUUUUCAUUUAUUUAUUUUUUCCUGGAAAAUGGUCUAUGAAUGUGUUUUUUUUCUUAUUUUUCAAUUUUAUAUACUAUCAUUUUAUGUAAUAUCUUUUGUAAUAAAAAAAAAAUCCUUAAUCAACCAACUUUCACAAAUUAAUUUGAAUGAAGAUAUAAUUUAUACUACCGAACUAACACAACCUCAUGUUUUGUAAUAUAAUUUAUCUUUUACAUUUAUAAAAAUUCCUUGCUAACUGUAACUAUGUUUUUCACAAAUCUAAGCAUUCUAAACCACACCAUAUCAUUCUUUUACCAUAGAUAUAUUUUAUAUGGUUUAAAAAAAUCAUGAAUAUGUUAUCAAACAAAAUCUCUUAAAUUUUUGAAUUACAUUCUAAAUUUAAUAAAUGAUUAGACAUAUAUCUCAUUUGGUAUUAACAUAUUUUUAAUUUUAUUACAACUUUGUUUAUGGUUUUUAGUAUUAUCAAUAGAGGAAUAUAGCUGCAUGUAAAACAAUCUUGUAACACGUGUAUUUUUUUAAGAUAAAUUAUAUAAAAUAUGGCAUAUUAUUAUGUAUGAAAUGAGUUCCCGUUCGAUAUCGCACGGGUUCCUUACCUAGUAUCAAUAAUAACGUGUUACAUCAUAUCAUUAAAUUUUAAAAGUAGCUAACAACUAAUAAUUAUUUUAUCAUAUAUUUAUAUAUAUAUAUAUCAUGUUGCAUCAUAUCAUUAGUACUCUAUCUAUAUAUGAAUUAGUAGGUAAAUAUAAUUCUUUUCAUAUGAAUAAAUACAAUAUAGUGGAUGAUUGGUUGGACUUUAACUUGUUACUUUAACUUUAUUUAUUUUUGAAGAAAUAUAUAUAACCAAUCAUGAUAUGGCUUUAAUUUUAAAACUUAAAGUUACAACAAAUUUUUACCAAUCAAAAUGUAGCUUUCUUUUUCGAAGCUUCACAGCAAAAGAAAAAGAAAUCUUCCUUGUCUAUUUAUUUUAGUCCAAAAUGCUACAUUCCUAUUUUUUUAGGCCGUAGAAGUUUUGAAGGAAAAAGAAACAUUCAUACUUAUUAGAUAAAAUUGAAAACAAAAAUUAUCAGUUAAGAAAAAAAGAAAAAAAACAAACAUGAAAAAAAAAGAUAACCCUAGCGUGUAACUUAUAUAAGUACUAGUAAUUAAUCUUCUAAUUUGUCAUCAAAAGUUACACAAAAAAACAUCUCGAGGGAUCGUUCCAUACUUUUUACAGAAGUUGUAAGUCUCUUAUUUUAUUUUUCUCGUAAUCUUACACAGAGAAUUUUCUUUUGACUAUUUGUGAAACUCAUCUUCUUCAUUAACGUCGACUGUUCUUCAUAUUUAAAUUAUUAUAACUAGAUCUGAUCUUUAUUUGGGUAAAAGCAUGUAACAUUAAGCGUGUAUCAAGAUUGUUUUUAAACAUUAUUAACAUGCAUACAUCAUCAUCUUCAUGUAACAUGUGUUGUAAACUUGUAAUUAGCAUGCUUAUAUUAUAUAUUGGCACAUCAUCGAGAGGUAAACCAAAAUGUUUACUUGUAUUUUUGUCAAAAAAACAAUGAUUAGUGUUGAUAUAAUUAUUUUGUUUCAUAGAUUACAUGGACAGAUGAUCUCGCUAGAAUCUUUCUUAAUCUUUUUAUAUUAGAACAAGAAAAGGAAAUUGGGUAGACAAAUAUUAAGAUUGAUGAUCGAAGGAUCUUGGUAUCGAGAUUCAGAGCUCAAAGAGAAGAAGAAGAUGUAAUCAACGUACACAAUAUUGUUUAUAUAGUUCUGGUUUAGCAAAAGGAAACUUAACCAGAAUAGACCAUAAUUAAAUCAGCUAACCGGUAUCACUAAACCAUCUUAAUACACCCCCCCCCCUUCAAGUCUUUAUCUUCUGAUCAUCGUGAGGAAGAAAAAGACUUGACAAUGAUAAACGAUGAAGCAUGGACAUGUAUGGACCCGGAUGUAAUGGCUUAGUCAGUAUAUCAGCAAGCUGGUUGCCAGAAGAAACGUGAAGAGUAAUCAACCAACCCGCUUUGAUCUGAUCUCGUACUGUGUGACAAUCAAUCUUGAUGUGCUUCGAGCAUUCAUGAAACACCGGAUUGUUAAGUAUAUGAAUAGCAGACUUGUUGUCACAGAACAGCUUAGGCGUGCAAGACAUCUUGACAUGAAGAUCUUUUAACAAUUGUUGCAACCAAAUCAAUUCACAAGUAGCCAACGCUAAGCUUCUAUACUCUGCCUCUGUACUACUACGGCUAACAACAGCCUGCUUCUUGGACUUCAAAGAUACUAGAGACGUUCCAAGAUAAACAUAAAAGCCUGUGACAGAACGUCUAGUAUCUUUGCAAGCUGCCUAAUCCGCAUCAGCAAAUGCAUUCAAGCAUAUCUCAUUAUCAGAAGCAUACAUCAGACCUUGGCCAGGGUUGUUUUUAAGAUACCUGAGAACUUUCAGAGCCGCUUGAUAGUACGCAUCUGUUGGUGCUGAAAGGAACUGACUCAGUUGAUGCACGGUAAAAGUAAUAUCAGGUCUCGUGAUGCACAAGUAUAACAGCCGGCCAAUGAGUUCUCGAUACUUCGUCGGUGUAGAGAGUAAAGAUCCAAGAUCCUUGGUAAGAUAUAAAGAAGGAUCCAUUGGAACAGAACUCAGUUCACAACCCAAUAAGCCAUAAUCCUCCAGAAGAUUAAGCGAGUAUUUCCGUUGACAAACUGAAAUACAAGAAGAUGAUCUAGCAAUCUCCAAUCCAAGAAAGAAACGAGCAGGUUCGAGAUCUUUGAUCUUGAACUCAGAAUGAAGCAGAGCCUUAAGACGAAGGACCGCAUCAUCAUCAUUACUCGCAAUCAUGAUGUCAUCAACAUAUACCAACACCGCCACAAAUGAAGUACCCAUCGCUUUCACAAACAAUGUAUUAUCCGCUGGAGACUGAACAUAGUUUACUCCCAAAAGGAUAGAAGAGAAACGUUUGUACCACUGGCGUGAGGCUUGCUUCAAUCCAUAUCACGACUUACGCAGUCUACACACUGGAUUUGGUGGAAGAAUGACACCAGGAGCAGGCGUAUAGCCUUGAGGGAGACUCAUAUAUAUCUCCUCAUCAAGAUCACCAUGCAAAAACGCAUUAGACACAUCCAUCUGAGUUAAACUCCAACCCUGAGCCGACGCAAGACCAAGUAACAGCUUGACACUCGUGAGCUUGGCUACUGGAGAGAAAGUCUCUAAGUAAUCAACACCUUCUUGUUGUGUAUAGCCUUGUGCCACCAGACUUGAUUUAGGUCUCUCACUAUUCCCAUCAGCAUUAAACUUCAAUGUGAAUAUCCACCUACAACCAACAACAUUCUUGCCUAUUGGCAAAGAAACAACAUCCCAAGUCCUGUUUUCUUCAAGAGCAACAAGUUCCACAUUCACUGACUUAGUCCACAUGCCAGACGCCAUCGCUUCUUUAAAGUUGUGUGGUUCUCUUUCAAGAGUGUAAGCUAGGGUAUAGGACUGAUAAGAAGGGUUCAAAUUUUCAUAAGAAAGGACUGAAGAGAUAGGAUAAGGAGUUGGCAAAACUGGUUUAGGUGAAUCAGAAGUAGGUUGUUUAGAAUUGAUAGUAAAGGGCAUAAGAGAGCAAUGAUACUCAGACAGAUAGUUUGGAGCUCUAGUUGUUCGUCUAGGUCUAAAGUCAUUAACUUCAUUAACACCAGUAUCAUGUGAUUCAGUAUUAAUAGAUGAUGAUGGUGCAGGUUGAUUAGAAGUAUGAUUACUAGUAUUAGGAUCCAAAGGAUGCACAGAGCAAUCAGUAUGCAUAGAUGGUAAAGGCAUAGAGUCUACAUAAUGCAAAGGUGAUGGCAUUGGUAAGAUAGUAUUAGGAAACAUAUCAACUGAGUCAUUCAAAAACUCAGAAGUCUUAAACGGAAACUCUGUUUCAUGAAAGACCACAUUGCGAGAAACAAAAACAGCAUGAGACUCUAAGUCCAAAAGCUUGUAUCCUUUAUAUCCUGUAGGAUAUCCUAGAAAACCAUAAGGAAGAGCCCGUGGUGAAAAUUUAUUUCUAUUCUUUAACAAUGUCGAAGCAUAGCAUAAGCAACCAAAACUUUUAAACUGACUAUAAUCAGGAAGUUUACCUUGCAAGCAUUCAUAAGGAGAUACAUUGUUAAGCAAAGGAGAAGGCAAACGAUUGAUCAAAAAUGUAGCCGUAAUCACACAAUCACUCCAGUAUUUCAAAGGGAUGUUAGAUUGAAAAAAAGCAAAGAACGAGCAACAUUCAGUAAAUGUUGAUGUUUCCAUUCAACAACAGAGUUUUGUUGUGGUGUGUAUACACAUGAAAAGUAAUGAAUCAUUCCGUUUGUGUAAUCAAAUCAGUAAAAGCAAGUUCCAGAGCAUUAUCAGUUCUUAUUGCCUUUAUUUUUGUUUGAAAUUGAGUUGAAAUAAGAGUAAUGAAAGCAGGAAAGACUUUAGAAGCAUCAUUUUUAUUUCUUAACAUGUAAACCAUGUAACUCUUGUACAAUCAUCAACAAUUGUUAAAAAAUAUCUAUACCCUUCAACAGACUCAACUUUAAAAGGACCUCAUAUGUCUAAAUGAACAAGAUCAAACGGCUUAGAAGCUAGAUUAUUACGAGAAGUAAAAGAUAACCGUUUUUGUUUUGACAAAGGACAUACAUGACAGUGUGAAAGUGGUGAUGCAUCAGGCUUGAAAGCAGGUAAAUGAUGAGUGAGCUUUUGCAAAAUGAUUGAUGAAGGAUGCCCUAAGCGUUGAUGCCAAAUAUGUUCUCCAACCAUGACAGAAGCAGCUAAAGAUGUUGAAGAAGUAUGUAUAGAAGGUGAAGAAGAUUCAGUGCUUAAGAUGUAUAGAUUGUGAUGCAAAUUACCCUUCCCAAUCAUCAAGCCCCGAGAAAGUUCCUGAAUAAAGCAGCCAUGAAGAAAGAAAUUAGCAGCACAACCCAACGUUUUAACCAAGUAACUAACACUAAUCAAGUUGAACUUGAAAUCAGGCACAAGCAAAACAUCAUACAAAACUAGUUUAUCAGUAAUAUGAAUCGUGCUAGUGUGUGUUAUAGGAACAGCAGAACCAUUAGGAAGUGUAACAGAGACACUAUCUACUGGUGUAAAAGAAGUAAAUUUAGCUAGAUCCGAACAAACAUGACUAGAUGUUCCACUAUCAAUAAUCCAAACAUCAUUGUGAAGUAAAAAAGGAAAAGUGGAAAGGCAAUGAUUUUUAAAUUUCAAAUGGUUAUUGGUAAAGGUAAGGCUGGUAGAAGGAAACAAUAGGUUACCAGAAGUGGAGGUAGACGCCAUAAUACCAUGAUCAGUGAUUUUCGCCUGUGGAACAGUCUGUGAGGAAGGAACUUAAUUCUCUUGAACUCGAACAUGAGAGUUGAACUGUGCAAUAAGACUUUGAAUUUGUUGAUGAGUAAAGUUGUGAAGCAUCACAUUACUACCUCCUUCUGUCAGAUGAGGCGUAGAAACAGAGUAAGAAGAUUGUCAUGCCGUUGAGUAAGCAUUUGAGAUGGCAUUAGCUGUAUGAGCCGGAGUUAUUUGUAAGAGAGACUGAGGCUGCUGUGGAACUGAAGAAUAACUCGCCUGAUUAGCCAUAGACUGAGUCUGGUUCCUAUAACCAUUAGUCUUAUAUCUAGGAGGAUAACCAUGCAACUUGAAACACUUUUGGACAGUGUGACCAAGUUUACCACAAUGUGUACACACAGGCUUUGAUGGUUGAUGAGAAGCAUUGUAAGCAGCCACAUAAGGAGAAUCAUCAGGUAGACUCACUGGAGCAACAGAACUUUGAAAAGCCUCUUCAAUUGUAGGAAUUGGCUUCAACAUCAAGAUGUGACGACGAGUUUACUCAUAAGAUUUAGCAAGUCCCAUCAAGAACUUAGUCACUCUGCUACGUUCUUGUAACUUCUCCCAAAGAGCUGCUGCAUCACAUUUUCCGCAUGUACACACUGGUAAAUCAACAUAGUUUUUGUGCUCCUCCCACAAUGUCACAAGCUCCGUAUAAUAGGUGGAAAAAUCCAUUGAACCUUGCUCAAGCUUACUCAACUUCUGCUCUAUAUCAAAGACUCUAGGCGCAUCUUCUUGCUUAAAUCUAGCUAAGAGAAUAUUCCAAAUUCCUUCAGCAGUAUUGAUAAACAAUAAACUCUGCCCUAUCUUCUUGGAAACAGAAUUCAUCAACCAAGUUGCCACCAUAUCAUUGCAACGUGACCACGCACCAUAAUCUCUAUGAGUAGAUGCAGGUUUAAGAACCGUACCGUUGAUGAAUCCUAGCUUGUUGCGCACAUUCAAUGCCAUACGAACCGAUUGUCGCCAAGAAUGAAAUUCAGAAGGGGUAUUCAAGCGAUCUGUAACAAGAACCAAUCCAGCAUGAUCAUUGUGAUGAAGAUAGUACGAAUUAUCAUACUGAUCAGCCGGAUAUCGCUCAGAUUGCAAAGGUUGAGAAGUCGCCAUAAUCGCCAGAACAAGAAAGAGAUUCCAGAAAUGAUGCAGAAAUCGAAUCGAAAGCAAAACGAACGAUCUUCAAAUGAAAUGGAGACUGAAUCGAAGAAGAAUCGCGUAAAAGAGAGAGAGAUCUGAAUCACAAAAUCCCCAAUCGCCAAACGAAGAAGUCGCAAGAAACGCGAAAUAAUAUAACUGGUAUAACUGGUAUAUAAAAUGUCAUAAUUCGUGUACAACUAGUAAGUCGCCCAAUCUGACCGCAUAAAUAACUCACAGCCACACGAUUUUCAUUAUUUCAUUUUCUCAUUCUACUAGGUACAACUAGUAUAAUUCAUACAACUAAACGCGAAAUAAUAUAACUGGUAUAACUGGUAUAUAAAUGUCAUAAUUCAUGUACAAUUUGCAGCUACUAUAAUUAACUCAACUAUUAAAUCAUUUUUUACAUAUGAUGAUAAAAUUUCAUCUAUUUUUCUGAGGUUCUUCAAUUUUUGUUAAAUCAUUAAAUUACACUAUCAAUUUUACAUAAGAUACCUUAUACUUUUAAGGUUUGUUAAUUAGAUUGACCACAUUAUUAUGAAAAAUAAACAUCAAAAAUAUAUUUACAAAGUUAUAAUGUGAAAAUAUUGGUACAGCUCCUAAAACUAAACAUAUAAAGCAUUUGGUAUAAUUUUUUUAUUAUAUAUUAAAUGAGUAUUAGUGGUACAACUUUGACAUCUCAGAAAUUGACAAAAUCAAUUCGGUAUUCCAUAUGAAAAAAUAAUGAAAUGGCCAAACUUGUAAGUGUUUAGAUAGAUUCCUUAUUUUUAAAUGGUUUUUUUUUGGCAAUUCUUACACCAUCACAUAAGUUUACAGGAUCUACCUUAUACUUCUAAGGUUUGUUAACUUGUUUGUCUACAUAAUUUAUGGAAAACAUACAUGAAAUAUAUUUUUACGAAAUUGAAGAUUUUAUUGUAACUGGGCAAAUCUAUGUACACAUAAAUAAGUGGUACAACCGAGGUAAAUAUAUUUAUUAAAUGGUACAAUUAAUAUUUUUGGAUUUCACAGUCAAAGUAAGACUAUACAUAAACUGGUACAAUUCAAAAACUAAUACAACUAUGUACAGAGGUACAACUAGAAAACAUGUACAACUAGAAAACAGGUACAACUACUUUUUAUUUUAUUUAAUAUUGUUUUAAAUGUUCACCAUGUUUUAAAUGUGUAUCAUAUUUUAAACAUUGGGGUUGAACACAUUAGUAAUACUGGUAUAACUAGGAAAACUAUUCAAGUUCUGGUAUAAUUAGGAAAACUAUUCAAGUCAUUAAAAUUUAAAUAUUCAAUUGGGUACUGCAUAUGAAAAAACAAUCAGCUGGCCAAAUUGGUAAGUGUUUAGAUAUAUUCUUUUUUUUUAAUGUCUUUUUGAAAAUUAUAACACUAUCACAUAUGUUUGCAUGAUCUAUCUUAUACUUUUCAGGUUUGUUUACUUCUUUGUCCAUAUAAUUUUUGGAAAACAUAUAUGAAAUGUGUUUUUAACAAAAUUGAUGAUUUCAUUUUAUUGGGGGCAAAGACAUGUACACAUAAAGAAGUGGUACAACUAAGGUAAGUUAAUGAAACUUCAACCAGUACAACUAUACACAAAUUGAUACAACUCAAAAACUAGUACAACUAUAUAGAGUCGGUACAACUAGAAAAAUAGUACAACUACUUGUUAUUUUAUUUAGUAUUGUUUUAAAUGUGCUUCACGUUUUAAAUUUGUAUCAUGUUUUAAAUGCUGUGGUUGAACACUAAUGUCGAGUAAUUGUACUAGUUGUACCAUUUGUAAAUAUGAUUGUGUAGUUGAAUAUCUUAUAUAUAUAUAUAAAGAAGAGAUUCUCUUCUUCUAGGAUGAGCCACGUCAUCAAUUCGGAGUCUCCUGUGUCGACACCUGUGUAUUGACUUGAUACGCAACGUUUCAAUUAGUGUUUUUUUCCGGCUUGAUUUGGUCUUCUUUAGUUAAACGUACUUUUCGACUUAGGCUUGGAAAUAAGGUGGUUUACGUUUCGAUGUGUACAAAGCCCUGACAAUCCAAUGGAGUAAACCCUAAUUGUGUUAUACGCGAAGAAAUGGAAUGUUAUUGUUCGUCUCUCUUCUUUGUUCUGUGGAGACUGUUGAUCUUCAUCCCUAACUCCGAAACGGUCCAAGUUAUGUGUUCUUCGUGUUUAAUCGUUAUUAAUUCAAUCAACCACUAUGAGGUUUUAAAUGCAUGCUUAGAUUCGUUGAGUCGGUGUGUUUGCAAGUAUAAAUAGGUCAGUAUUCCUCCUCUCUAAAUCAUCUUCUCUUUGUAUCUCUUUUAUUUUCUCCAUCUACAGAUGGUUUUGAAUCUGUUUGUUGAUUACGGUUUCGUUUUUUUUUUCUGUUUUCAGGCUAUACUCAUGCCAACCACCGUCUCACCACCUACAUGCAUCUUUUGAAAGCGAGUUAAAUAUACUCCUUGAGCGGAUUUAAUAUGACUCGGUGCAAUCAGAAUUUCAGACAUGUUCAUCAUGUAAGCAUAAUCAUUUCAUUCUGUGAUUUUAGAUCUCUUUGCAUUGAUCAAUCGGGGCAUUUAAUAACCCACAACUCUAAAGUUAUCCUAUUUCUGUAACACAUGAUAGUUGUGUAGAUUUGUAGAACUGAAAAACUCUUUAUGUGUCAAUUGAAAUGAUCUUUGGGAUGAUUUUUGUAUGGUAGCAGAGUUGUGGAGUCAUGAAGUAUCACUUUUCAUGAACGUGUUCAUUCUCGCCACUUCUGAUAUGUUGGAACGAAUAUAUGUGACAGCUGAAGGUAGUGAAUGAUAGUUGUCUAUGAAAGCAAAAUUAUCAAACCCCUAAAAGCUGGAGCCAUAGCUUCUAAAGAAGCAAUAGAAAUGUGGACAGAAGUUUCUCAAGGUAAAUACUAUAUAAAGAGAGUAGAGUAGGAAAGCAGUGGCAAUAAUAUAACUAAAUUCCAUGGGUCUUGGUCUUUUCCAGCCACAAUUAAACUGCAAAUCAGAUGAUAUAAGUGUAUAUAUAUAUAUAUAUAUAUAUAUAUAUAUAUACACUUAUAUCAUCUGAUUUGCAGUUUAAUUGUGGCUGGAAAAGACCAAGACCCAUGGAAUUUAGUUAUAUUAUUGCCACUGCUUUCCUACUCUACUCUCUUUGCAAUACAUGAUCAAUAAUAAAAGGUAUGUGUCAUAAGAUAGCUUUUCAGUAUGUUUUGGUUGUAGUUUUGCAAAAGAACAUAAUCUCAUGAUGAUGAAAAUUUCACAGCCUCUGGCGACAUGCAUGCAGAACAGCCUCUGACCAUCAAUCUGCAAAUAACAGCACCGUGGUUAAAAUAUUAGGUAUUUUUUGUCCCAAUAGAUAAAUAAUUGGUGGAGAUGUGUUGUUGAGAUAUUAAAAUGGGAAUAUGCCUAAAUUCAGUUGCUUCCAUAAACAACGGCAGAUGAGUUAUUUUGGAAGCUACAUACUUAGCGGCAUCAAAAUCUCUACCACUUGAUUCUUAUCUCCAGACUUCAUUCUUCUCUUAUCAUUUUCAAUAACUGAGGUUUAUUGUUUGAUCUUUAUUUCAAAAGGUAUUUGUAUUUGUUUACUGUUGAGAGAUAUACAGUUAAAAAUUCAUUUUUAUAUCAAGCUGCCAGAUUCUUCCGUCACCAUUGGAUGUACCGUCCUAACUAAGUUUGUUGAAAGAAUGGCGGUCACAGCUCUAAUACUGACUAAAUAAAAAUGAUUGGUUUUUCUCACUUGGCCAACUUCUCAGUAACAAUAUCAUUAACUAACAGAACAAUAACAAUAUCAUUACCUUGGUUAUUGGUGAGAAAAGAUUCUGCAGCUUUUGAUUAGUAUAUAGUCACCACCUCCAUUUCAAAUUACUUCUACUCCGAGAUGAAAAAAUACAUGCUGUGUUCAACCAGUAAUAACCAAUAUUUUAGUAAUACAUUAUCUAAUUACAUCUUUCUUUCCAUUUAGAUAUAUAACCAUUGUACAAAACUUAUAUUACAAAAGGAAAUCGAAAACCAAUAUAAUCACUAAUUAUACCAUGAAAACUAAACAAUAAUAUUUGUUUUAGAAAUUCUUAAUUAUUUUGGAUGAUAUGGUUUGAUUGAUUAUUUUAAAAAUAAGUAUGUAAAUCUUUAAAUAGUAAUGUGUUAAGUUAUCAAGUUGAAUAAAAGUGAUAGUUAAAGUUUACUUUUUCAUAAUUUAAAAGAAUAGAUUCCAAAGAACAUGUGUAAAAUGUAUUAAAAAACAAAUGUAUAUUAGAGAAAAAAAACAAUUAUAUGUGAACCUCUACUGUAAUUCUGAGUAAUUUUAUUUGAUUUAUUAUUACAAUAGAGGAAAAGCCCAGAAUUGAAUACUGUAUAAUAAUUACUUGAUUAAAAUGAUUUUUUUAUUAGCUAGAUAAACCUAUAAUUUUAAAUAAUAAUAACAAAUAUAAAUGGUGAUAUAUUAAAAUCACUUUCAAUUGAGAAUAAACUAAAUAUUAUUUUAUUUCUUCAUUGUUUAGUUAUGUCUUGCUUCACUCUAACUUCCUCCAAGAAAUUAUUGAAUAUGAAGUGGUAUGUAACUAAAGUAAAAAAAUCUGCUAUAGAAAUAUAUUAUUUUAUUAAUUUAUAAAAUAUUCUAAAACACUAUUUUUAGAAUAACAUGAGAAAAAUUCCUAACAAAUAAUUAGUUUAUUAAACUGAGUUCAACAAAAGCUAUAAUAAGUUACAAAACAUAACCAGUAAAACAUUAAAAUUUAGUUAAUAUUUCAUUCCAGAUAUAAUUAUGAUAUGAAACAAAGAUAUUCUAAAACAUCAUUUCCUGUUAAAUUAAAAAAUAUUUUAUUAGUUAUGAUAUUAUUAAACUACAAAUAUAGUCUUUUGAAAUUAAGAUUUAAUUAUUUUAUCAAUUUGUAUUAUAUUUUACAUGAUUUAGCUUGGAUGUAGACUAAUUUAUUAUCAUGAAAGAAAUAAUUUGUGUAAAUGUUUUUUUAAACUUGAUUCUUCUUGAAAUAAAUUUAGUGCUAGUUAUUUAAACUUUAUAUUUUUUAUUAUGUCAAACUGAAAUAGAAAUAAAAACAAUAUUAUUAUAUUUCCUGAUUUAUUUUUGUUAAUUUUGUAUUCUCUAAAAAUAAAGAAUAAUGAAGGUUACUGUCAUUUUAAUUCAAACCAAAAAUAUUUAUGAAAAAUAACAAUACGAUCUCAGAAUUCUUUUCAUUAUUUGUUUGUUUAUAAUAGAUUUUUUUUUUUUUUUGUAAGCGACGGCGAUGGCGACAGCUUUUUAGGGUUUCAUGUUUUUUCGACGAUGGGAUCCUGGUUCUCAAGGGCUAAAACGGAAUCAAUCAGAUCUCUAUCAUGAUGAUAAGAUCGGGAGGAUUUGUAGGCGGAAAGGAAUUUCGGAAACAUGGGUUAUUUUGGUUUUGCGAAGGAUUUUGUGGGUCGGAGAAAAGAUUGGGAUUGAAGGGAGCGUGUCAUCAUUAGGAUCUUCAAAAUGGAUGUGGAAUCCAGAAGAUCAAUCACAAGAUUAUCAAGGUAUGAUCUUAGUUAUCAUCAAAACGGUAUCUUUUUCUUUCGACAAGGAGAUUAUGGAUAAGCUCAAGACAGAAGACAAGAUAGGGAGGAGAUGGGUGAUCUUUGGUUUGGCUGAUUUAAUUAACCCAAUAAGCUCUCUAAGCAAGUUUAGGUCUGACUUUACGUGUUAUUUGUUUCUGGUUGUGCUUUCAAUGUGGGUUGGUGACCCAUACAAGGUUAUGGAUUGGAGCAAAAAUAGAAUUUUUGGUUAUGUUUUCUUGUGUCUAGUCUUGACAAAUCAUUAUGGUCAUUGGUACAUCUUGUUUCGCAUAGGCUUAUAUUGGUGUUUGGUCAUAUGUUGGAGACGAAGUGGGAGGAUUGGAAUUGGGUGGGUCAACUGGAGUUCUCUGAUCUAUUUUCCUGUCUUAUUUACAGCACUGCUAAUUCUUAUCUUGGUCUCAUCAAACCAGUUACAGAGAAGAGAUACAGAUAUGGAAGCGACUAGGAGGUGUUUUUUAAAGGGGAUACAGGUCGAUGUUAGAGUAGUUCCAAGAAUGGCAGUGGAAUCUUAUUUACUCUUCUCCAUAAUUUGCUUAUCAUGGGUGAAACGUGUACUAGCUACGUUUGUGGCUUUUUUGGAUAAAGGAAACAGAUUCAGUGAUGGAAAAAUGAUAAUUAUUGGCUCUGAGUUUGGGCUAAUAAAUGGGUACAAGUGUAUUAUAGUCUCUUCAGGUCUUCAGGUUUCUUCAGUAGCUACGUACUGGGGUUUAUUGCUAUUGUGUAUGAAGGGAGAAAGGAUAAUUAUUGGAAACAUAACAAAAUUUCUGGAACUCUUUCUUCACAAAGAGUGGUGGUGUGAGAUUUUGUUAGGUAUUGGUGAUUUUAUGUUUGGGUUUACAGUAGUUGCUAUGAACAUAUUUUUAUGUUCUUUUGGUACGGGUUCUUAUUGUCAUAGUAGUCUAUUGAUUAAUGUAUGUACUGUUGUCUUGAUUAUGAUUGGGAAUAAAAUUGAUUCACCUGGAUCUUACUCUGGUUACAUUAUGGAUCUUUCACGAUUAUACAAUCAGUGGUUCAGUGUCAUCAUUAAGACCUUCGAAAUGGAUGUGGAAUCCAGAUGAUCAAUCACAAGAUUAUCAAGACUUUGUAGGAAAAUUGGAAAUAGGUGUUUCGACUGGAGUUCAUUGAGCCGCUGGAUCGAAUUUUCUGGCCUACUUACAGCACUGCAAACUCUUGACUUGGUCUCAUCAAAUCAAUUGCAGAGAGGAGAUACAUAUAUGGAAAAGACUACGAGGCGUUUUUCAAAGGGAAUGCAGGUUGAUGAUCAAGUAGUUACAAGAGUGGAAGUGGAAUUUUAUUUAGUUUUCUCUACAAUUUUAUUAUCAGGGGAGAAAUCUAUACUUGCUAUGCUUGUGGUUUUUUUGGAGAGAGGAACCAGUUUCAGAGAUGGGGAAAAAGUUAUCAUGAUAAUUGGCUCUGAAACUUGGCUAGUAAAUGGUUAUAAGUGUAAUGAUUUUGGUUAUAAGUGGAAUGAUUUGCAUAUUUUCAGUGCUCCACUAUUUGUUUAUUGGUCCAAUAUUGUUGGGGCUGAUAAUGGAUUCGUGCUCUGUUUUCCUUUCCAGAAGACAGGACUGUUAUGGUUUUGUAAUAGAAUAAUCACAGCUCAUGUAAUCUAUGUUGAGCUGAGUAUGGAUAAAGAUAAGACAUUACGGAGGUUAUAUGAAUUUUACGACGACACAAGUUUUAUGGUAGUAUUACGAAGGAAAAAGGAUAAAUAUAAUCAGGUUUCUGGGUACAUGUGGUUCACAAAAAUAUCCAUAUCGUAUUAUGGAUUGACAGGGUCUCGUUACUCCCAUAUGACUAGCUCGGCCGAGCUCCUUACACGGAAUUUUUUAUGAAAGUGCUAAGUUGGAAUUGUAGAGGUGCGGGAAGUAAUUGGACAACCAGUUAUUUAAGGGAAAUUUGGCAUAAGCAUAAACCGGAUUUUCUAUUUUUGUCGGAAACAAAACAAGAUUUGCUUUUUCUUCAAGGGUAUCAAGCUCAUUUCGGUUAUGAAAAUUUGGUUACGGUGGAUCCGAUUGGUACAAGAGGAGGACUUGCAUUAUUUUAUAAUAAUGAAUUUCAAGUCAAUAUUUUAUAUACUAGCAAUAGGAUGAUUGAUGUGGAAGCGAUAGCCUUAGGGAAACAAGUUUUUAUGACCUUUGUAUAUGGGGAUCCGGUACAACAGUUGCGAGAUCAUGUAUGGGACCGCUUAACCAGGUAUGGUCUGGCAAGGUCGGAGCCGUGGUUUAUAAUUGGAGAUUUAAAUGAGAUUACCGGUAAUCAUGAAAAAGAAGGAGGAACGAUAAGGAGUCCAGCAUCUUUUGUACCUUUUAAUAAUAUGAUCAGGGAUACUGGACUACUGGAAUUCCCGGCCAAAGGAAACCGGAUGUCUUGGCAAGGACGAAGAAAUAAAGGAAUAGUAAAGUGUCGAUUGGAUCGAGCGCUGGCUAACGAAGAUUGGCAUACACUUUUCCCUUGUUCCUACACAAAAUAUUUAGGAAUGGUGAGUUCUGAUCAUAGACCAGUGGUGGCGAACCUGGAUAAUAAAAUACAGAGAAGACGGGGACAAUUCCGUUUUGAUAAAAGAUGGGUAGGGCAGGAGGGUUUAUUGGAUUCAAUUGAGAGGGGUUGGAGGGAAUCUACGGCGGAGAGUUCCGGGGCUUUUGUAUCUAAAAUUAUUAAUUGUCGACAUGAGAUCUCCACAUGGCGAAAAAAUAACCCACCAUAUGGCAAGAAAAAAAUUAGUGAGCUGCAACAAGCUUUGGAAGAGGUCCAAAAUGAUAAUAAUAGAACCCAAGAGGAAAUAUUGGAUGUCUCUAGGAAACUGCAGGAAGCGUAUAAAGAUGAGGAAGAGUAUUGGCAACAGAAAAGUCGUAAUAUGUGGCACACUGCAGGGGAUUUGAAUACUAAGUUCUAUCAUGCCCUGACAAAACAACGUCGGGCUCGUAAUAGAAUUGUUGGCCUAUAUGAUACGAAUGGUGAUUGGAUUAUUGAGGAACAAGGGGUAGAGAAGGUAGCAGUAGAUUAUUUUGGAGAUUUGUUCCAGACUACCUCUCCUACGAAGUUCAAUGAUUUUUUGGAUGAGAUUAAUCCCACGAUUACUCCACAGAUGAAUCAGAGGUUAAUCCGGCUGGCAACUGAGGAGGAAGUACGUCAAGCUUUAUUUAUGAUGCAUCCGGAAAAAGCUCUAGGACCGGAUGGGAUGACAGCUAUUUUCUUUCAGCACUCUUGGCAUAUAAUAAAAAAGGAUCUACUGGAAAUGGUUAAUGAUUUUUUAUCAUCUGGGACCCUGGACACAAGGUUAAAUAUGACGAAUAUUUGCUUAAUACCUAAAACAGAGAGACCUACGCGAAUGACUGAACUCAGACCUAUCAGUUUAUGUAAUGUAGGUUAUAAGAUUAUAUCGAAGGUAUUGUGCCAACGGCUGAAGGUGUGUCUUCCCUCUCUUAUUUCGGAAACACAAUCGGCGUUUGUGCCGGGAAGAUUGAUAUCGGACAAUAUACUUAUAGCUCAGGAGAUGUUCCAUGGAUUGAGGACUAACAGAGCGUGUCAGGAUAAAUUUAUGGCUAUAAAAACGGAUAUGAGUAAAGCUUACGACAGAGUUGAAUGGAUUUUCAUUGAACAACUUCUAUCCAAAAUGGGAUUUGAUCACCAUUGGAUAAAAUUGAUGAUGGAAUGUAUUUCCUCGGUACAGUAUAGAGUUUUACUUAAUGGGUAACCGAAGGGAAAUAUAAUUCCACGUCGGGGUCUUCGUCAGGGGGAUCCUCUCUCUCCUUAUAUAUUUAUUAUGUGUACGGAAGCGCUGGUUGCGAAUAUUAAAAAGUCGGAGAGGGAAAAACUUCUGACGGGUGUAAAAGUUGCCAGGGCUUGCCCUCCGAUAUCCCAUCUACUCUUUGCAGAUGAUAGUCUUUUCUUCUGUAAAGCAAAAAGUAAAGAAUGUCAGACUAUUCUUCGGAUUCUGAAGGAUUAUGAAGUGGUAUCAGGCCAGCAAAUAAAUUUUCAUAAAUCUUCGGUCCAGUUUGGACACAAGGUUGAGGAAGGCUUAAGGUAGGAAUUAAGAGAUAUUUUGGGUAUACAGAAUUUAGGUGGCAUGGGUUCAUACUUGGGUAUUCCUGAAAGUUUGGGAGGAUCAAAAGUACAAGUCUUUGGUUUUGUUCAAGAGAGAUUGAAUAACAGGGUCAACGGAUGGACCUUCAAAUUUUUUACUAAAGGGGGUAAAGAGGUGAUUAUAAAAUCAGUGGUAACAGCCCUGCCAAAUCAUGUAAUGGGAUGCUAUCGUAUCCCGAAAACGGUGAUGAAAAAACUGACAAGCGCAGUGGCACGGUUUUGGUGGAGUCCUGGGGGUAGUACUAGAGGAAUGCAUUGGAAAUCAUGGGACAAGCUGUGUUUGCCUAAGGCUGAAGGAGGUUUGGGCUUUAAAGACCUAACAAACUUUAACACGGCUAUGCUUGGGAAACAAUUAUGGAGAUUAAUUGAGAAACCGAACACUUUAUUUGCCCGAGUUUUCAAGGGACCGUAUUUCAGGAAUGCAUCACCCCUGGAACCAAUUAGAUCUUACUCGUCAUCUUAUGGCUGGCGUAGUAUUGUCUCAGCUAGAUCUCUGGUUAGCAAAGGACUAAUCAAAAGGGUGGGAUCAGGAUCUUCUAUCUCAGUAUGGAAUGAUCCUUGGCUCCCAUCCACCCGCCCGAGACCAGCAAACAAAAAUCAACACAAUCUUUACCCGGAUCUUACAGUGGAUUCACUUAUUGAUGAAACAUCAAGAACAUGGAACUCACAGGUUCUUAGGGCUUUGGUGGACCCGAACGAUGUCCAGUUAAUUGAGAGUAUACCACUAAGCUGGUUUCGGAUAGAAGAUCGGGACGGAUGGCAUUUCACACAUAAUGGAAGAUAUACGGUUAAAUCAGGUUAUGAGGUGGAGCGGGUGUACCCAGAUAAAGUUAGGACACUUCCAGAGUUUGGUCCAUCAGUUUCUUUAUUGAAAGCACACUGCUGGAAAGUGCGAUGCCCACCUAAGUUAAAACACUUUCUUUGGCAACUAGUAACAGGAUGCAUAGCGGUAAAGAAUAAUCUACGUUCAAGAGGAAUCCAAGGGGAUACUAUAUGUGUACGGUGUGGUGCACCUGAGGAAUCCAUAAAUCAUGUCUUCUUUGAAUGUCCCCCAGCAAUCCAGGUCUGGGCUCUCUCACUGAUUCCGUCUAACCCGGAUAUUUUUCCCCUUCAAUCACUUUUUGCAAACAUGGACCACUUAUUUUGGAGGGUGGUUCCGGCAAUGGACAAAUUAGAGACCAGUCGGUCUCGUAACCGGAAUGAAACCACUAUUUGACAGAAAUUUUUUACCUCCAAAAACCUUGUGUAGAUUGAAAUACUAAGUUCUCUAAUCGUGUCGCUUGAGACAGUAGAUCCAACGGUAUAGGCAUAGUCGUUAACUCCGAUUAUAUGAUCAUGAAUAUUGGAUUACUGGAAUUUCUGGCCCGGGGAAAUCAGAUGUCCUGGCAAGAAAGAAGAAAUAAAGUAAUGGUUAGAUGUCGGUUGGACCGAGCUUUAGCAAAUGAAGAAUGACAUACACUUUUUCCAUGUUUUUACGCAGUUUAUUUAGGGAUGGUGGGGUAUGACCAUUGGCCAGUAGUGUCUUAUCUUAAGAACAAAGUACCAAGAUGACGGGGACAAUUUUGGUUUGAAAAAAGAUGGAUUGGACAUGAUGGUUUGUUGGAAUCAAUUGGGAAAGGUUUAGGUAAAUCGCCAUCGGAGAACUCAGGAGAUUUUGUAUCAAUAAUUAUUAAUUGUCGCCAUGAGAUCGAUACAUUGUGAAAUAAUAAUCCACCAUAUGGAAUGGAGGAUUAGUGAUCUUCAAAAAGCACUAGAAGAAGUACAAACUGAUAAUAAUAGAACUCAGGAAGACAUUCUUGAGGUAUCUAGGAAGUUACAAGAAGAAUAUAAGGACCAGAAAAGUCGUAAUAUGUGGUAUACAUCUGGGGAUCUUAAUACUAAAUUCAGUCAUGCCCUAACAAAAAAAAUGACGUGCUCGUAAUAGGAUUGUAGGGCUCUAUGAUACUGAUGGAAACUGGAUAAUUGAAGAACAAGUGUAGAAAAGGUUGCAAUGGAUUAUUUUGAUGAUUUGUUCCAGACAACUUCUCCCUCAUAAUUCGAUGGUUUGUGGACGAGAUUACACCUACCAUCACCCUCCAGAUGAAUCAACGGUUAAUCAGGCUGGCAACCAAUGAUGAAAUACAACAAGCCAUGUUUAUGAUGCAUCCACAAAAAGCUCCUGGGCUGGAUGGAUUGACAGCUCUAUUUUUUCAACACUCUUGGCACAUAAUAAAAAACAAUCUACUGGAAAUGGUCAAUAAUUUUUUUUAUCUCAGGGAAACUGGACACAAGAUUAAAUAUUAUGAAUAUUUGUAUGAUUAAUAAAAUGAAGAGGCCUACAAUGAUGAUAAAGCUCAGAUCUAUCAGUUUAUGUAAUGUGGGAUAUAAGAUUAUAUCUAAGGUAUUAUGUCAGAGAUUAAAUGCAUGUCUUCCCUCACUUAUUUCGGAAACACAAUCAACCUUUGUACCUGGAAAAUUGAUUUUUGAUAAUAUACUCAUAGCUCAGGAGAUGUUUCAUGGAUUGAUGACUAACAAAUCGUGCCAGGACAAAUUUAUGGCCAUAAAGACGGAUAUGAGUAAAGCUUAUGAUAGAGUUGAAUGAAUUUUUAUUCUAGAGCUACUUUACAAGAUGAGGUUUGAUCAUCACUGAACCCAACUAAUGAUGGAAUGUAUUUCCUUGGUACAAUACAAAGUUUUAUUGAAUGAUCACCCAGAAUGACACAUAACUCCACAAAGGGGACUACAACAGGGAGAUCUCUUAUCUCCUUAUUUAUCUAUUAAGUGUACAGAAGCAUUGUUAGCAAAUAUUAAAAAGACGGAGAGAGAGAAACAACUGACGGGCAUAAAGGUUGGACGUGCUUAUCCUCCAAUUUCUCAUAUGCACUUUGUAGACGAUAAUCUCUUCUUUUUCAAAGCACAAAGAGAGAAAUGACAGACAAUUCUCAGGAUUCUAAAAAAAUACUAACUGGUAUCGGGUCAGCAUAUAAAUGUUGAAAAAUCUUCGAUUCAAUUCGGUCACAAGAUUGAAGAACCCAUCAGACAGAAACAACAUGAUAUUUUAAGGAUACAAAAUUUAGGCAGAAUGGGAUCAUAUUCGGGAAUGCCUGAGAAUUUGGGAAGAUAAAAAACACAAGUGUUUGGUUUUAUUCAAGAUUGUUUAAGUAAUAGAGUAAAUUGAUGGACAUAUUAGAUUUUCACUAAGGGGAAAAAUGAAGUGAUUAAAAAAUCUGUGGUAACGGCUUUGCCAAACCAUGUAUAAUGUCCUGUUUUCGCAUACCAAAAAUGGUAACAAAGAAGCUAACGAGUGCAGUGGCACAAUUUUGGUGGAGUCAAGGUGGCAAUACUAGAGGUAUGCAUUGGAAAUCAUGGGAUAAACUGUGUAGUCCUAAGAUGAAGGAGGUUUAGGGUUUAAAGACCUCACAGAUUUUAAUACAACUAAGCUUGGGAAGCAAUUUUGGAGAUUGAUAGAGAAACCAAACACAUUAUUUUAGGCCUGCGAUUUUAAUUUUCCGAAACCAAACCGAACCGAACCGAUUUUUUAGUUUUCGGUUAACCGUUUUUUUUGGAAAAAAAUCCGAAGAAAACCGAAUUUGAAUUCGGUUCAAUUCGGUUUGGUUUUCGGUUAUUUUCGGUUUUUGAUUUUAUUCCAAAAAAACCGAAAUCAAACAUUUUCAAUAAAAAAAUCGGAUCACUCGGUUAAUUUCGGGUAUUUUUGGUUAGUGUCGGGUAUCGGUUACCUAAGAUUGUUUCGGUUAUGCCUCUGUUUUCACCUGGCAAAUCAAAUAAUCAUGCAGUCAACAACAGAAAAAUAAUCUCCAACAUCAAAACCAACUUAUAAUCGAUUCACCAAGUUAAAACAUUCAAAAGAGAUCACUCUCAAACAUGAAAAUCCAAAAAAAGACAACAAUCUGAAUAUAUAUCUCUUUUGCAAAGAUCAGACUUUGAAAGAUACAUAGAUUCAUGAGUUCAAAAGGAUAAGUUGUCCAAAAGAGAGUGAUAGGCUAAGUUGUUUUUGACUUCCUCGACAUUCCAACCUACAAGUUUAUGAAGUAAGAAAAUCAGUAAAAACAGAGAGAAGAACAAACUACAAGAAACUAUACAAAUAAGAGAGCAACAGAUUACCUCUAAUGACUAGAUUCACUCGGAAUUUGCAAAGACUCUACAUAAUGUCAAAGGCAAUUAGGAACUUACGACUGUGAACAUAUAAAAUUUGAAGGAAAAUAGUUAAAUGAUUACCUAAUGACUCAUGAAAAUCGAAUUCUUCAAACAUCUGAACCAAGCUUGCAACCUUCUCAGCCUGGAUGUUGUUUCGAAGCCACUGUUGUAGGCAGACAAGAGCUUCAAUCAUGUAUGGAGUCAGACAACUACGAAACGGAUCUAAAAUUCUACCACUUGUACUGAAUGCUGACUCUGAAGCAACAGAGGAGACUUGAACAGCUAGCACAUCUUUUGCUAGUUCAGACAAGAUUGGAAACUUACAAGAGUUCUUCCUCCACCAAGAUAACACAUCGUAGUCCAAGCCGAAGUUGUUUGAGCCUCGUGGUACUGGUUUUUCCAUCAAGUAGAUGUCGAGUUCACUGCUACCUUCUUCAUUUGCUGCCUCUGAAACCAUCUCUGAAUACAAAGAAUCUCUCCUCUCAAAGUCCUCGUCAUCGUCAUCAGAGAUAUCAAACAUGGUUCCAACUUCACCUUCCCCAUUAUCAAAAACAUUGCUGAUACUAUCACCUUGAGAUGAAGAGCUAAGCUUGCUCACAUACUCCUCAUACAACGAUUUCAUCAGUGCCCUGAUUGAUGUUCUGAGAUGACCACUCUCCAGACUAUCCUUCCCAUACAGCUUAUCAAAACAUAUAGAAGCAAAUUGCAUCUUGUUCCUUGGAUCGAACACACUUGCAAUGAUGACCAGUGGGUUUAUAUUGAUUAGUCCAUCCCAGUAUUUCUCAAAUUUGUUCCUCAUCUCCUUUGCUUGAAUCUGUAUAAUCCCAUCUUUGCUAUUGCUCAAUGCAAUCAAGUUCCUCUCGAUAAUCACAAUCUCAUUGUAACAAAUUGUGGACGUGACUGUCUUCGAUGCUGAGAACGCUAAACUGCAGCCAAAGAAGAUUUUCAGAAACUUCACUAACCUCUGCACCUCUUCCCACCCUUCCGUAGUAGGAGGUCCAACUCGCUUAUGUCCAUUCUCCUCUACUUCUAGAAAAUAAUCAUUAUACAACACGUCUUCGGCUUUGAGCUUCUCAAAAGAAACCUUAAACUUCAAAGCGGCAUACAACAUGAGAUAUGUGGAGUUCCAGCGAGUUAUGCAGUCCAAAGACAAGCUCCCUCUACUAACAUUUCCUGUCAGCACCCUUAACUGAAACGACUACAAUCUUGUACCCGAUGAUCUAACAUACUUCACAGCAUUUCUAAUAGCCAUUACACUAUCUUUGACCUCAUAUAAACCAUCCCUAACUAUCAAGUUGAGAAUAUGGGCACAGCAACGCAUAUGCAACAAUGCACCAUCCUUAACCAAUGCAUUUGGUCCUAUCUCCCUACAAUUUUCUGCAAACAGCCGUAGGGCCUUGUCAUUCGCCUUAGCAUUGUCUACUGUAACCGUAAAGAUCUUCUCUAUUCCCCAAUCAGAGAGACAUAGACUCAAAUUCUCUUCUGCAUAUUCCAGUUUCGAUCAAUCCAAUGAGCUGUGACGACCAUGUAGCUGUAGGAUGUUGUAGGAGCAACCCAAAUGCCAGUGGUAAGAGACACUCUCUGCUUCUCAGAACUAAACAACUGCUUUAAGCUAGCUUUCUCCCUUAGAAACAUUCCAAAUAUGUCUUCUGUUGCUGUUCUCCUGCAGUGAACUGUGUACAUAGGCAAGAUGUUGUGACAGAACCGCUUAAACCCUUCAGAUUCGAAAAAAGAAAAUGGCUCUUCAUUCAGCACUAUCAUCUCAUUCACUGAUCUCCUAAACAAAGCAGCAUCAUACUUAAUAGCUGUCAAUACGCCACUACUAUCUCCACCUAGCACCUGCUGUUUUCCAGAUUCUUUGUAGAGCUGGUACAUCUUACAUCGAGCAAUGUGAUUCUUCAUCGCACUCGUCCCACUCUUCUCCGAGUCACAUCCAAUCCCUUGGGUACAAUAAUGGCAGUUGCUGAUGCUCGGAUCAUCUUCUCUUUGAAUGAAAUGUUGCCAAACUUCUGCUCUGUGAGCUUGCUUUUUCUUUGCAACAGGAUGCAUAUCAGUGCUUGAUCUCUCAGAAGCAGAUCUUUUAUUUCCCCCACCUUGAUCUAUAUCUGCUUCAACUUCUUCUGCGAGGAAGUCACCAUUAUCUUCACAAGCUAACAUCUACAAAUACAAUCAGAAAAUAAACACUUAAUAUCAGACAAAUAUAUAUACAAUACGAACCAAACAUAACAGACAAAACAAACAAAAUGAACACAAAACCAUACGCUAUUUCAGACAACCUAUUCGCUAAACUCAGUUCAAAAUCAUUCGAAAUCGUUCCUAACCAAAGCUGAUCAAUUUAUAAACUAUAACUGACUCACUAAGCGACACACACAAACCCUAACAAUUAAAAUCCCAAUUCGAUUAUCACACAAAGUCACAAACCCUAAAACAACUUAGAAAGAAGAGAAGACAGAUACAAAAACUAACCUUCUACCUUUUGCUCCAAAUGAUGUAAGGAAGAAGAGAAGUUGGUCUGGUCUGAGAAUCAGACAAGGAUUGAUCGGAGAUCGUGCUUGAGAAAGAGAGAUUAAGAGAGGCGAUUAGGGUAAACGGUUUACGACUUUAGGUUUGUCGGUACUUAGGUUAAGGAUGACUUAGGUUAGGUAUAUAUAGUUAGCUUAAAAUUUCGGUUAUUCGUUCGGUUAUCACGAACCGAACCUAACCGAGAGGAAAACCAAUAUAUUUGAAAACCUGUACCGAUCGAUUUCUCUCUUAUUUCCGAAACAUAACCGAUAUCCGAUGUUUUCGGUUCGGUUCGGAUCGGACCGAUAGGUUCGGUUCGGAAUCCCAGGCCUACAUUAUUCUCUCGUGUGUUCAAAGAACGGUAUUUCAGGAAUACAUCACCUCUGGAACCAAUUAGAUUGUACUCAUCGUCCUACGGCUGGCGUAGUAUUGUCUUUGUUAGAUCUCUGGUUAGCAAAUGAUUAAUCAAAAGUGUGGGAUCAUGAUCAUCUAUCUCAGUAUGAAAUGAUCAUUGGUUCCUAUCCACUCACCCGAGACCAACAAAUAAAAAUCAUCACAAUCUCUACCCAGACCUUACAGUGGAUUCUCUCAUCAAUGUAACAUCGAGAAUAUGAAAUUUACAGGUUAUUCGGACUCUGGUGGAUCCGCAAGAUUCGAAAAUAUAUGAAAGUAUAUCUUUAAGUCAAAUUCAUACAUCAGAUCGAGAUGGAUGAAUUUUAUAAAACAUUGGAGAUACACAGUUAAAUCUGGAUAUCAAGUAGAACGAGUGUACCCGGAUAGAGAAAGAACUUGAUAUGAUCCUGACCAGCAUCAAAGUCCAAGGCAUGAAAGCGAGGUAUGAACCGACUAAGCCAUUGAUCAUGGUUUGAUUUAAUGGACAUUUUCAAGACCUAAUUGGAUUGAUCUAUGAAGUUUUGGAUAGAGAGAAGCUACUAGAUUUGGGGCAGAACGUGGAGGCCUUUAAAUGAGGUUUGGUCUUAUGAUUAGGCCAGGAAGAAGACCCAAGAAGUUAGACAUCAAAGCCAGCCCAAUUUUAUGAAGUUACAAGUCCAUUAAGAGCCCAAAACAAGAGGUUUCUUUGCUUGCUAAGAAGAUGGACGAAAAUCAGAUAAUGGAUUGCACGAAAGCUUCUCUCUCUUGCAUGCAAAGAAGCAUUUAAAGUUUUUUUUAUGUUUUCUAAGUAUUUCUACCCUUCCACAUGUUGUUCAUGCAAGUGUUUUUAUUUUUCCUAGUAUUGUUUCUAGAUUUCCCUAUGAUGGUCAUGCAUAGCUUGUUGUUUUCUAUUUAAACUCUUGUAUGUUUCAUUUCAAAUCAUUCAACCUUUUUAAUAAAAAUCAUCUUCUUUAAAUUUGUUGAAUCAUUUUUGAUUGUUGGUAUGUGAUUUCCUUCAAUCUAACUUGGUUUAAUCUAGUGUGUCAUAUCUAGAGGUGACCAUUAUACGGUAGUAUCAAGAGACUUUCCGCACCUCUUGUGUCACCUUUCAAUCACAUCCCUUGAUCGUUUGUUGCUUUCUAGCUCACUCUGUGCAAGGCUUAUCCAUUACCAAUUUUAGAGUGUCGAUCUUUGGGAGGAUCUCACCAAGUGGUAUUAGAAUAGAUCUCCAUCAAUAGGUUUUGUUUUUUUGAUUAUGCAAUUUUAAACUUUUCAUAAUUCUUUGAUCAGAUCUAUUCUAGAGUUAAGAUCUUGUUGGAUUUGUGUUUAUUAAGAUCAGAUCUACCUAGAACAAGUGUUAAAAUUGCUAAAUAACUAAACUUGAUUCACAAGAUUGCAGAGAAAAGAAUUAGGGUUAUUAUUGAAAAUUGGAAGUCUGAUUAUUCCAGAUUCAAUUCCAUUACUUUCUGUUAUAUUAUGUUUCUGUGAUCUCUUUUACUGGUUUUGUGUUUGGAAAAUCAACAUGAACCAUGGGAGAAGAAAAAAAUCGGAACAAUAGAAUGGAUCAACUGUUACUCGAUGCUUUGACUGCAGGUAUGACUACUUUGAUGAAUACUUUGAUGGAUCAGAAACUAGAGAACUUCAGAGCUGAGGGUGUGCGCCCAGAUCGUGAGAGACCCAUGAGGUCUUCAGACCAAUCUGCUUCAGAAAGUUACUAUAGCCAUUCAAACCCAUCCAGUGGCUCUAGAAGAAGAAGGCGAGACAGAGGAGAUAGGCCACAAACCAAUGAUCCUAUGGGUGGUUUGAAACUGAAGAUUCUUGAGUGUACAGGCACUGCUGAUCCAGAAGAGUAUCUAGAAUGGGAAAAGAAGAUUGAAAUUGUGUUCAAUUGCAGAGACUACACUCAAAAGUACAAACUGAAGCUUGCUCCUACUAAGUUCAAAGAGUGUGCUCUGAGUUGAUGGGAUAACCUCAUUACGACAAGAAGAAUAACCUCAUUACGGCAAGAAGAAGGGCAGGAGAUUUCCCUAUUGAAACCCGGAACCAAAUGAAGGUGAUCAUGAGGAAGAUAUUUGUACCAAGCCACUAUCACAGAGAACUGCACUUCAAGAUCAUAACACUGUCUCAAGGGAAUAGAUCAGUUGAAGAGUACUACAAAGGAAUCCAAACCAGUUUACUGUUACAUUUGCAACAAAUUGUUCUCGGUUGGCGAAGAUGGAUUCUGAACCAGAAGAAUGACCACUCUUUGCAAGUUAUUUGGAAGAUAUAAAGAUCUUGAUGAAAAGUUUUAACAGCUUAUACCUCGCUCGUUUAUAUACCACGGACGCAUAAUUCAAGGACGGACAGUUUUGCAUGCAGUGCAAGAAAAUAAAUGUCGUUUAUUAUCCCUAUGGAUGUUGAGCUACCAAUUUAGUUAGCAAAGUCUAUAUGAAUCUAUUUAAGUUGGUGACAAAAAAAAACUAAGUUAAACUCAUAAAAAUCAAUUUGUUAAAUAACAUAAUGAACUGAUAAAGUUACAUCAAUUUUAAUUCAUUUUACUAUCAAAACAAUUAUUUUAUUAGUGUUUUUUGUUUUUUAUUUGUUGAUGUUCACUUACAAAUAAUUUUGAUUAUAUAUAAAAUAUGAUAUAUAAAAAUUGUAACUAUAUUUAUUUUAUUUUCUCAUUAAUAUGAUAUAUAUAUAUAUUAAUUUCAUGGUGAUAUAUGAGUUAUUAAUUAUUAUUAUGUUAAAAUAGAUUUUUCAAAAUUAAUAUUUAUAUAAAAAUUACAUUAAUGGUGUCAUAUGAGCUAAUAGUCAUUACUAUAUUUAAGAAAUCUUGCCAAAAAUAAAAAGAUUUAUAAGAAAAACUAUACAUGUCAUAGGUAGGUUAAUAAUCAUAUGCAAAUUAGUUUACAAAUAAUGUCUAGGGAACUUGGGGAUAUAAUAAACUCACUAGGUUAAGAUCCGCGCCUUGCGCGGGAUCAACAUUAUAUAUAUAAAUUAUUUUAUGUAUUAAAUAUUUUUACAUAUUAUGAAAUAAUAAAUAUAUAUUAAAUAAUUAAAAAUCAGUAAUUAUUAAAUAUAUAAUUAAAUUGAUGCGAACAUAUAAAUCAAUUUUAUUAAUCCAAAAAAUAUUUUUUUAUAUUUGAUAGGAUAUGUUAUUAAAUUUAAAUGAUACUAACAUAGAUAAUAUAUUUUAAUAUAUUUUUAAUAUUAAUGUCUAUUAAAUGAUGAUUUUACUCAUAUAUUUUUUUGAUCAUUUGUAUCUUUUAUAGAAAAAAAUUUAAAUUACUGAUAACAAAAUUUUCAUUGUGGGAUUAAUAGUUUUAGAAAUUUAUAAUUUAAAAAAAAAUAAGUUGUCAAUGAUCGUUCAAAACUUUUAUCAAAAAACUGUUCAAAGUAAAUUUUGAAACUAAAAUAUUAUAUUUUAUAUGGUUUAUAGUUUAAUUUAAAAUGAUAUAUAUAUAUUAAUCUUAAUAAUUGAUUAAGUUAGACUUUUUACUUAUAUAAUUUUUGUAAUCAUUUGUAUUUUGUCAUAACAAAAGUUUUAAACCAUAGAUCAUAAAAUUUGAAUGUGAGACUUUUAACAGUUUUAGUAAUUUAUAGUCAUUUGUAAAAAUUCAAAAUAUAACAUAUAACAUAUACAUAAAAAUCUAAAUUUUUAUUAUAUGGUUAUUGUGGUUGUUUAAUUUAUUUAAUAGUUUAAAAUUAAACAAAUAUGAUAGAAGAUACACUAUUUUUUAUCAAAUCUUUAUUAUUCAAAAUCAUUAAUUGUCAUAUAUAUACUUUAACCACAUUAGGUAAUUCCAUAAAUUUUAUUUAAGGAAAUAAUAAAGUACAUUAAUGAUGAAUUUAUUGUUAGUUUAAUAAAAAUCUUAUUAUAUAAUUAGAUGGACCAACAUAUUUCUCUAAUGAUUCUAAGAAUCAUUCUAGUGAUGACACGUGGCUACAAAAAAAAGUUGUAAUGCUUCUCAGAUAAUAUAUAGGGGAUUGGUCUUACCUUACUUGUUUUCCACUUAAAACAUCAAAAUAUAAAUGCACUCCGUCCGCAGACUAAUUGUUUUGGCCUAAAAAUUGUCAAUAAAUCACUUAAUUAAAAAAUCAAGUGAAUUUUUAGAAGAAAAAUAUAUAAAUACUACCAACCUAACAAAUCCCAAAAAUCUUUAAAGGCUGCUGAACUUUUGCCAUGAUCCAUGUUUUUAGUCUUUGUUCUUCAAUAUUUUUUAUUUUUAAUAUUUACUAAUUUAGUUUAGUUAUUUCUGUUGGGAAAGCCGCGGGAAAGAGAAAAGGUGUGUAUGAAAAAAAGGAGAUUGUUGCUGUUUUCACAAGGACGACGCGUUCUUCCUCUCUCCUCCUCUAUAUUACAAUCUCAUUUCCUUUUCCCCAGAUCAUCAUCAUCAUCAUCAUCAUCAUCAUCAUCAUCAUUACCUGUCUCUGGUCGUACUAGAACCGAGAUCAUCUGUUCUAAUAUCGAUAAUGGAAACGGUAAGAACAAUAUACAUCUUCACAUCUUGAUACAAUUUUUGUCCUUAAUUUUAUCUUGAAAAAGUCUCAAACUUUGGCUUAUCAAGAGAGGCUAUUCUCAUUUUAUUUUGGCGGUGUGCAGGGAAAUAGAGGAAGACAACUGCCAAAGUUUGGGGAAUGGGACGCGAGUAGUCCAGGCGUUGUCCAAGGAUUCACCGUCAUUUUCAACAACGCUCGUGACGACAAGAAGACCAAGAAAACAGCUGUUGCAGGACCUGAGAGUCUGGUUACACCUCCGAUAAACAAUGAGUCUCAUCAGAAAAACAACAACCAUCAUAACCAUCAGAACAAAAACCAUCAUAAUAAACGUAAUUCCCAUAUCCCACGAGAAAAGGUACGUUAUUUUUUUCUUCCUCAUACGUACCUCACAAAACCCAAUCUUCACUACUCACGUGAUAUAAGGUUCUUAUAUGUUUGCAGAAGAAAUGGCUUUGCUUCCGGUAAAAUAUGGUUCGGGCUCUUUUUUGAAGAAAACACUGAUAAGGAAGCAGAACCGGUGACCGGAGUAGUUUUCAAUCUUUGUUCAUUAUAAGAUGUUGUUGCAAACUUCUUUCUUCUUCGUUGAGUUUCUCUAUUCAACUUUGCUUUGGCUACAUUUGUGUACAUAAAUUAAUAUACGUUGUUCUUGUUGCUUCUUGGUUUUAUUAUAUAAAAGAUUUGAGACAAUGCCCUUUGUAAGCAUGUCAUACUGCAUAAAAUACAUGAUUACUUAAGACUUACGGGCUUCAAAAACCAUUGCCAAGAGACGAAACAUUCACUAUCCUUGUUCAAAACUUAAACUUAUUGCAGUUUCAGCCGCUGCCAUUUGGAACAGAACACCCGUCACAUCCAAUAUGAACUUUUUUAGAGCAAAAUCCAGUAAAAAGGUUAAGACGAGUAAACAACCAAUGAAAGAACAGAUGCAGGCUCCAUUUGUCUAUAGCUUGCCACAUAGAUAUUGUUUGGAGAGUAUAAUCUACCUAAACAUUUUUGUAACGAAAACUCAAACCCACUAUAGAGACAAAAGGUAUCAGUUAUGUUAGCUUCCGAAGCUUGGUGUCGGUUCCAACCAUCACAUUCAUUACCAUUUGCACCGACCCGAGGAGCUACAACAUGGGAACCGUCAUGACUCUCCACCAUUAUUACCAUGAAAAGAUGGAGAGUCAGGUCCCUCCAAUAGUUGUGGGAUCAGGUUGGGUGAUUAAAUUUGCAAGUCAGCUCCAAAUUUUCAGGAGCCAAGGCGCAUCUUGGUUUUAAAUGGCGCAUGGCGUGGUGAGGCAAUGGGUGACUCGAUCGCCUCUCACCUGGGGCCUGCGACACAAAACUAGCGCUCUGUGUAUGAAAGCAAUAAAACGGUAAUGCAUAUACAUAGUAACAUAGGCAUAGAUACAAUAGAAGUUAAAAGCAAAACAUAAAAAAAGAGUAAUCACCAAUGUAGAAAAGAGGAGAAGAAACACCAGAAACCAAAGCCUUGAAUUCACGUGAAUAAUGAGGAGAAGAAUAGCGGAAAACCCCUAACUUUAAACUUAGGGUAUGUGUUCUCUUUGAUUGUAAUUGUUCUCUUUGAUUGUAAUUCGGUUUAAUAUUCUUAUUUUGACAAACCAAUUCGGUUUGAAUCAAAAUCAGUAAGAGCAUGAUUAUCCUAAAUUCCCUUUUAGGGUCUCUUGCGAUUUUUUUAAUAGUAUUAAGUAAUAAAUGUGAGGUUAAGAAACCUAAUCAAGAGACCCCACAAUUUAGUGCCUCCAUUGUAAGUUUUUUAUUUUGGGGUUCUUAAAAAACAAAAAAUUUAGAAGAUAAUUUUUUUUUAUUAAAUAAAACAUAGAUUUAAAUAUAUAAUGAUAAGACAAAGAUUAGUAAAAAUACAAUAAAAAUAGAAAGAUGCAUCCGAGAUCAGUUGAUGUCUUCAUCACGUCCAAAUUUUCGCCAUAUAUGUUCAACUAGAUCAGUUUUGAGUUGUUGAUGCAUUUGUCUAUCACGAAUUCUAGUUCGAACACCCAUCAUAUUGACGAUAUUUGUAGGCAUAUCUGUAGAAUACGUGAGAUCGACAUGUGAACUUCCGGUGUCUUCUCCUUCUUGGAACUCUGAAACAUCAAAUUGAGUGUAGCCAUCUCGUUCGUCUUCUACUAUCAUAUUGUGGAGUAUGAUACAUGCUCUCAAGUCUUCCCAAUUUUGAUUUUAUCCCAAAAAAGUGCCGGAUUUUUAACUAUGGCAAAGCGAGCUUGCAAAACUCCAAAAGCGGGCUCGACAUCUUUGCAGACAGCUUCUUGCCGUUGAGCAAAUAAAACUGCUUUCGGUCCUUGUGGUAUUGGAAUAGAUUGGAUAAAAGUUGCCCAUUUCGGAUAAAUACCAUCGGUGAGAUAGUAAGCCAUAUGAUACUCUCUUCCAUUGACGAAAUAAGUGACUUGCGGAGCUUGACCGUUUAUUAUGUCAUCAAAAUCAGGUGAGCGAUCAAGAACAUUAAUAUCAUUUAAGGUACCUGGAGGUCCAAAAAACGCAUGCCAUAUCCAGAGAUCGUACGAUGCAACCGCCUCUAAAACGAUUGUUGGGUUACCCGAACCACGAGAAUAUUGCCCUUUUCAAGCGGUGGGACAAUUCUUCCACUUCCAAUGCAUACAAUCGAUGCUUCCUAUCAUCCCGGGAAAUCCACGAUACUCUCCAAUAUCAAAUAGACGUUGAAGGUCAGCCGGUGUUGGUCUUCUUAGAUACUCAUCGCCGAAUAAAUUUAUUAUUCCUUCCAAAAAUUUUCGACACAUAACCGAGUUGUAGUUUCACCGAGCCAGAGGUAUUCGUCGACCGUAUCAGCUGCAAUACCAUACGCCAAGACACGAAUGGCUGCAGUACACUUUUGGAGGGGAGAGAGACUCAUCCUUCUGAGACCAUCUUCGUUCGAGAGUCGAUCAACAAUGUGCAUGAACAAUGGCUUGUUCAUUCUAAAAUGUCGUCGGAAGAAAUUUUCAGGAUACGUUGGAGUUUCACUGAAAUAAUCAUUCCAUAAAUGAAUAUGCCCUUCUUCACGAUUUCUUUCGAUAUAAGCUCGUUUUUUCUUUGUUUCCUUGCUUCUUCUUGAUUACCAACGGUUAAAUUCUCUAAAGUUUGAUCAACAUAUCGAUCAAAAUAUUGAUCAAAUGUAUCAUCAAGUGAUUCUUCAAAAGGGUUUUGAGAAGAAGAUGUCAUAUUUGUAAUCCAAAAGAGAAAUUAAGCUUGAAUAAAGAUAAUGAGAAAUAAAAAGAAGAGAAGCUGAUAUUGUUUUUGAAGAUGAUUAAUAAUCUUGGUUUUAUAAGAAGAAGAAGAGAAGAUGAUAUUGUUUUUGAUUCUUUUGUUUGGUGAGAAUGAGAGGAGAUGACUCGUUCUCGGUGAGAAGGAGAGAAGAUGAUAUUGUUUUGAUUGUUAUGUUUGGUGAGAAUGAGAGAAUGCAAACUAUAUAUAAAAUUUGGUUCACAAGACAAAAUUUUUUUUACAAAUCCGUGACACAACACAAGAUAAAGAGUUAUACAAUCCGUGACACAACAAAACACAACAAAGCUUCCACUAGACAAGUGAUACACAACGUCACACUCGUCUUGGCUCGUGACUGAUACACAAGACAACAAAAGUUUCACACUCUGUGAACUGACACAACACAAGAAUACAACGUCACACUCUUCUUGGCCCGUGACUUUGUCUACUCCGUGAAUCUACAAUGCCACACUCGUCUUGACCUGAAAACAACACAAGAGAUAACAUGAGACAGCGAAAAUAACACAAUGCAAUAACAUUUAUAUCCGAUCUUAGCUAACAAGAAAAUUAACGCAGUGCCAUAACAUUUAUAUCCGAUCUUAGCUAACAAGAACAACAGACUUUAACUACACAGCUUCAUCUUCAGAACAAGAACAACAAAUCUAAGCAGUUCAAGACACACCUAAACAGAACAAGACAUACUUAAACUAAAUAGACAUCAGCUCAUCAACGAGCUUCUUCUUCAGAGCUUCUUCAUAAUCUGCUAAGGGUCCUUGUUUUCCAAUGAGACUGUCAAGGAGCUUAAUCUUCGACAGCCUCUCCUUCAUAUCCAAGUCUUGCUUUUUAAUGCUCCACACAGUCUUAAAAUCAGACAGCUCCACGGGCUUUUUACCACGGCCUUUUGCAGCCUUAACACCCGGAGGGCGAGUGGUGCCUUCAUCAUCUAGAGCACUGUCAGUUUCAUUUCCUUUAGAGCUUGCAGACUGUGAACCUUCCUCACACUUCCUCUUUUUGGAGCUUCCAUCAUGUCUAGCUGUAGAGAGAUCACACCACUUCUGAUCAUUUCUAAGCUCCUUCCAAGCAUGUUCAAGGGUGAACUUCUUUUUGUGGUUAUUGAAGAAGAUUUCGUGGGCAAGUUUGAGACCAUCAUUCUCAUUUUGCCCACUACUCUUCUCUCCUGUUGCUGCCUCAUAAGCACCACAAAACUUACACAAUAAGUCAUUCAUCUUGUGCCACCUUUGCUUACAGUGAGUAGCCUCUCUUUUUUCACACCCGGCUAGCUUCGGACUAGCAUUGAAGUACCUUGCAAUUCUUUUCCAGAAGGCAACAUACUUUUGCUCAUCAUCUAACAGAUCAAACAUCUAACACAAGAAGCCAUCAUCUGUUAAAUCAAAGACAUAGACAUAAACAAAAACAAGAGACUUCUUCUGUUGAAUCCAAGAUAGAGACAUAAACAAAGACAAGAUACGCAUGCAACACAACAAACGAAUCUAAAUAACAAAGAAGGAUUCAGACUUUAAAGGACAAAUACAUAGCCUUACCUUUGGAUUUGAUUUCGUCGAGGUGAGCCAUCGAGGAGAGCCGUCGAGGAGAGCCAGAGAGACGCGGAGGCGUCGACGAGAUCGAGAGAGACGAGGAGUCGUCGAGGAGAUUGAGAGAGAGACGCGGAGGCGUCGACGCGAUCGAGAGAGACGAGGAGUCGUCGAGGAGAUCGAGAGAUAGAUGGAGGCGUCGAUGAGAGCGACAGAAACGACGAUUCAACCGCUAGAAACGCCGUCUGAUUCCGUCGACGACUCCUCAUCGGUUGAUUCCGUCGCGGAGAGGUCAUCGCCGAGGAGAUAUCACCAGAUGCCUUCAGAGUCGUCGAGGAGACACGAGAGAAAGAGAGAGGAAGCUUCGGUGGAGAGCGAGAGAGAGGGUUGAUAUUAUGUGUGCCUUCAUUAAGCUAAGUAUCCUGUUUAAUUAGGCAAUUUUUAUUGUUUUUUAAUUCUAAAAAAGCAAGAUAGCGGCUCAAGAGCUCGCGAUAACAAUGCUCUAAGGUGUCGCUUUAUGCAAAAUGCCACUUAGUAUGAGAGCCUAGGAAGUGUUUGCUUUGUGUAUGUCGUCACGCCUUGAGGUGCUGAGAUGGGGACAUCGCUACGCUUCGCCUUAAUGUAAGCGAGCGCUUUUUUAAACCAAGAUGUGCAUGUAGUAAAGACAUUAGAAACAGUAAACCAAAUAUAAUCUUGCCUAUGGGUUUUUAGAUUUCGAACUUUAAAGACACAAGGGUAUAUGUGUCAAACUAUUAUCUCAUGAAAAAUUAAGUCUAAGCCUCUAACCGGUGACAAUUAAAAUACGAAUAGGAACAAGUAGGAAAUGAAUGAAUAUGAACAAAAUAAAAUGAAUAAAAAUGAAUAUUUAUUCCUUUUGUUGCAUAUCAAUUUUGAUAAGAAAUGUUUUUCUUUUAUAGUUUCUUCAAAUUCAAGGAAUGACAAGGAAUCAAACGCAGCGAAAAAUCACCAUAAAUGGUGUAAUUUUUAAGGAAUGAGUAGGAAUUGACUAUUCAACUUAAUUUCCUAUGUCACCAUUUGGACCCUAUAAUUUUUAAUACGAAAAUAUGUAAAAUGAGGUUGUAGUUCAUAAACAUCUGAUAGUAUAUGAUAGUUCUUGUGAGUAAAUACUUUGUUGAUCUAAAAAUGGUUGACACAUGUAAAUAUUCCUUAAUUUUCUAAUGUAAAUUUAAGUUUGAAAAUAACUGUUCCAAGAAGUAUUAUUCAACCUAAAAAAAAAAGAAGUAUUAUUCAACCUAAUGUAUUUACUAAAGACAUUAUCAACAUGGUAGGUCGUGAAGUCUUUGAUUAUGAUUGGUAACUUGAGAAAUUGUGGAAUUGCAUUGCAGUCAGUCAUUCAAAUUCAACCAUCCAAAAUGUGCCAUGCCGACCAUUACUAAUUUUAAAUAUUAAGAGGGUGUUUCAAUUUAGAAAUUUAAAAUAAUUAGAAGCAAUUAAAUUUAAUGAAUUUUAAAAUAUUUUAGGUGAAUUAGAGAAUUUAAUAUUAUUUUAACUUAAUUUAUAAUUAUAUUUCAAACUAUGAGAUUUAAUUUUUUGUUACAUAAUAAGAAAUUCACUAAAACUCUCUAAAUCACUAAAUUAAAAUAUUUCCAGUAACAGUAAAUUUCAAUAUUUCAUACGAAUUCAAUGACACUAAAUUUUAAAUGACAUGGUAGAAUUCAUAACUGAAUAACAAUUUAUUAUCUUAGUACAAAUUAUCCUAAACUCUCGAUUGAAUACACUUCAUAUAUAUGAAUAUUGUUCAUGUUAAAAUAUUAUAAAUACUAGGGUUUUUCACCGCGCUAGGCGCGGUUUAUAUAUUUUAAAUUGUUAACUUAUUAUUUUGAUGAAAAUGUGAAUUUUUUUUUUUGAGUUUGUAGUUUUUAAAAAAUGUCUUACCCAUUAAAUACUUUUUAUUUUUUCGUUAUUUUUACAGUAAAUUUGGAGUAUGAUUUGUUAGUUAUUUUACUAAGUAUCAUAUAUAUUUAGAUAUUAGACAAUAAUAUUAUAAUUUUUGAAACUAAAAAUAAGUAGCAUAACUAACACGCUAAAUGUGAACAAUUAGUUUGAUGUUAAUUUAGCUUCGAUGACCCUUUACGUGGGUAUGAUGUAUAUUCUUUUGUAUUUUAUUUUAUUUUGUUAAUUUUCAUUUUGAUUUGAAAUACUAUUUACGUAAUUGUUAAAGAAAAUUCUUGUUAAUGGUGUUAUGACUAAGUUUUCUACAUUGUUUUAAUUAUGUGGUAUAUGACUAAUUAAUGUAAGUUUUUGAUCUUUAUAUAUUUUAUAAUUUAUGUUGGUUAACAAUAUAUGAUUUUCCUUUCCACUCUUUGGGGUUCAAUAGUUUUAUAAAAAUAUAUAUUUUCAUCACAUAUAGUUAGCUGCAUAAUUUUGAACCUACAAUAAAUUUAAAUAUAAAAUCUUCAGUUUUUCUGAACAACAUUAAAUCUUCAUUUAUAUUACAUAUUUUUUUAUUAUGUAUCUACCUAAGUGUGUAAGCCUAUAUCCACCUUCAUUCUGCCUCUCUAUUUUGGAGCUUUAUUCUUUGAUGUGUAUUUUUUACCAUUUAUAAUAGAACUUCUAUAAGUUAAUACUCGAUAAAUUAUAAAUUUUGUCGGUUACAACUUUGACCGGUUCAAAAUUUUACACAAAUCGAUAAAUAAUAAGAUCAUAUUUUUUUUAGAAAAUUCUAUGUAAAUAUAUGGUCCCAUUAACGUUAUAAAUUAAUAAUUUAUAUAUAUACAUAUUUUAUGUAAGUAAAAACCUAUUAUUUUAUUGUUCGUUUUAUAUUCACAAUGGACUUAAUAUAUUUUUUUAACACUAAAUAUAUUUUUUAUGAGAUUUAGUAAUAUUAUAUCUAAAACCACAUUUAAGUUUUAUAUAAUAUAUAUAUUAUACACCAAAUAAUAUAAUAAAAUCAAUAUAAAUGUCAAAUUUCAAAAAAUAACAAUUAAUGUCUAUACACUAACAUCAAAUAUUUUUCUUAUCUUAGAAUAAAUAUAUCUUAAAAUAAGAAAUCUAAAUAAGAAAAUUAUUGUAAAUUAAUAAAAUUUAAAGUCCCAACAUUAUUAAUUUAUAGAAGUUCUACAGUAUAUGUUUUAUUCAUUUUCUACAUGUUUAAUUAUAUUAAUUAGUUAUUGUUGUCUUCAUUUUUUUCUUAUCUGUGUGUUUAUCUAGUCUUUUUAGUUACAUAUUCAGUGUUUAGUCAUUGUUGUUUCAGUUUAUCCUUUUGGUUUUGUAACCUGGUAGUUUUUUAUAUUUGUGAUAUAAAUUUUGAUAGAUUUUUCUUCUUAUAAAUGUUAAUCACUACCCAAUGAUUUUUAAGUUUAUAUUGAUAGUGAUUUUACAUUCUUAGGACACCAUUUUUUGUUAGUUAAAAUAUUUACAUGAUUUCCUAAUAACUUAGAUAUUAAACUGAUUUUCUUCUGAAAUUUUUUUGCUGCUAGUAAUUUAAUAUUGAUUUUAACUUUAUUUUGAUAAAUAUUUAUCUGAAAAUUUCAUAAUUUUAAAAUGUUUUCUGUUUGUCUAAAGAUCUAGUUUUAAUGGUUGAAAGGAAUAGAACUUAUUGUGUACCAAAUCAACAAUCAAGCAUUUGUUUUUUUCUCUCAACUCAGAAAAAGUGAUGUAUAUCUGUCAUCUUCCGAUNNNNNNNNNNNNNNNNNNNNNNNNNNNNNNNNNNNNNNNNNNNNNNNNNNNNNNNNNNCUUCCGAUCAUAAUCAUACAAAUGCUGAUUUUAUUAAUUUAGCAUUAGAAAUAACAAUUUCAAGAACAUAUGUAUAAGCAUAAACAUUCUUUUGCUUGUGAGCUUGUGAAAAUAAUCGAAAAUUGUAAAGAGUCGUAGUAGUGGAGAGCAAAGAGGGAUCAACAUUAAUCCAAGCUUCCUAACAGUGCCGGCCGUUGGGUAAGCUAAGGGAUUGUAUUAGAUAAAUAUUUCAGCCGAUUGUCUCAUACGUAUGAGGUUCUGAUAAUGAACCAUGGACUGGAACAUACUCAUGAGGUGAUACAUUUGCAGAAGUUUGUGGGGGAGUUAAUAACCUCAUCACUGAUAUUCACAUCAUCACAUGAGACGUAGGCAUGUAGCUCCUCCUGCCGCCACAAUAGACGGAGCUUCUGCUUACCAGAAUUUUUGGAGGAUUUUACUUGGCUUGUACUGCCUUUCGGGUUGUUUGUUUAUUAGCAGUGUUUGUGACAGACUUCUUUCGACGUAAUUGUUGAAGCUGCAACGAAGUUAAGAGACUUAGUGAUUGACCAAGGCAAUCAAGUUUAUACGCAAUCAAGAAACCAUGUUAUCAAUUGUUCCUUCUCAGCUAUGAACUUAGGCGAAAAGCUGUCAUGACAGAAAACAUAUCGUACUUGCUGAUGGUUUAUACGAAGGAAGUGAAACAGUAUAAUCCCCAAUGACAUUUAUCGAUAAAAUGCAAGUUCAACCAAAAUGUAAGAGUAACCUUUUAGUGCCCAGUAGCGAUUAGAUCGACACAAUUCUGUUUUCUUAAAUAAGUUCCAUUUCUAAUUUUGUUUAUUGCCCCAUAUACUUUUGCACCCUAUGUACCUUAAACACAUACCCAAAUUAAACCUAUUCCUCUGCUCAAUUUAGAAGAAAUGCCUUAUUCAAUGGAGCACAACAUUUACGCUCAAAUCCCAUUGUAUGACAACCAAAAACUGUAAAUGGAAUACCACUGUAUAUCUACCAAAGUUACAGUCAGAUCUCUGCAACCUCUAUUGGUGACAUUCUUAUCCUGUAUAGACAAUUUAUGAAGCAGACAUAUGAGGAUACUUUAUGAAAUUAUUCUUCUCCUUCAUUAUCUCCACCUGACUCCGCUUGGUCACAGUCUCAGGCUUUGCAGGCUGAAAAAAAAAACAUAAAUUGGAACAUAAGAAACGCACAAUCUCUGUCAUAGAAAUAUGAUUUAGAGCACAACUCAAUUUACAAUAUAAAUCAUAUUUCAAUCGAUCUGAUAGUACAAAGAGCCAAAUCAGUUCAAAUCAUAACAUAUUUUCUCUCCGUAUACAGACGAAAGUGCAGGCCCAAAAAAAAUAAACAGACUUCAAUUUUACAAUAACAAUAUGAACUUACAGUUAUUUGGCGUAACAGAAUGGAGCAAACUCAACUGUAAACAUAUUUGUUGCUGUACUACUCCCAGAUUUUCUACUUAGAAGAUUCCGCAUUAGUAGAAAAUAGCAAAACAUUGAUUCGAAGCAUUUUCAAUUAAUAAUUUUAUUGGACUGAACCCGAUGGUAUGAAUAACAGUGUGUUAAUUUAACAGGUGUCGGGAUUAGUAGAAGAAAAUAUGAAAAUCAAGAGUAAGAGGGUAAGCAAACAGAUGAUCAACGAAGGAACUUGUGAAUGUCUGUUCGAAGGAUGUCAACUGAAGGUCAGCUUCGCCUCCCCCAAGCCUGGGACAACAUCGUUGAAGAUUAGAGAAGCCAGAGCCAUCUCGUAUAUUUUGACGUUUUCUUUGAUUGAUGCAUGGGAUUUCUUUUGGUGGCCCUGUGGAGUGGUGAGAAUCAAAAAGAGGAUAGACAUAUAGAGGGUGAAUGUACGGGAUGUGAAGAGAUUGUUGAAGUAAGCUUGAAGAUAGCUUGAGAAAGAAGCAAACCUAAAUCCUAAAAGAAGUGGGAGAAUAAAGAUAAGGGUUAUCUUUAGUUUAGAUUUAUCUAAACAUAUGUAUUUACUAAUAGGAUUAGGAAAAACAUAGAGAUAUAAAUAGAGAGAUCAUGAGAUGAUCCAAUGUGUGAGUUUUAUGAGUUUGAGAGUUUUGAGGUUUUGAGUUAGUUUCCUCAAGAGAUAAAUAAGAAGAGUUCUUAUUGUGUGUGUUCAUACAUUCAUACUAUCGAAGCUCAAUUUCUAGAUUUGGUAUCAGAGCCGAAACAGAGACCAUGGGAGAUAUUGUGGAAGCAACCGGUAAGGUAAAAGAAGGAGGAGGGUCCUCUUCGAUUAAGUGCCCUAUGCUUAACCAGACAAAUUAUACAGUAUGGGUUAUGAGGAUGAGAAUCACAUUGAAGGUACAUGAGGUUUGGGAAGCAAUAGAGACAGAGACAGCGAACGCUAAGAAAAACGACCUAGCACUAGCAUUGUUGUUUCAAUCUAUACCAGAGUCGCUAAUCUUGCAAGUAGGAGAACUUGAUAAAGCUAAACAAGUAUGGGAAGCCAUUAAAGCAAGAUAUGUGGGAGCAGAACGAGUAAAAGAAGCAAGACUACAAACGUUGAUGAACGAGUUUGAUAGAUUAAAGAUGAAAGAGACCGAGAGUAUAGACGAUUUUGGUGGAAAAUUAUCAGAACUCGCCUCUAAGUCAUCCGCGUUGGGAGUUAUCAUCGAGGAAGCCAAGCUGGUGAAAAAAUUUCUCUCAAGUUUACCUCGAAAGAAAUAUAUACACAUUGUAGCCUCUCUCGAACAGGUGUUAGACCUUAACAAAACAAACUUUGAAGACAUCAUUGGACGUUUGAAGGCAUACGAAGAAAGAAUUUUAGAUGAAGAAGAUGGAGAAGAAGAUCAAACUAAACUGAUGUACGCAAAUAAUGAAGGACAAAGCGGCCAAACCAACCAAUCAAAUCGAUCAUAUCCUUCAGACAACUCAAACUACUACCAAGGAGAUUCAUCUAGAGGAAGAGGUAGAGGAGGCGGAAGACGUCCUUACAACAACAGAGGAAGGGGACGUGGCCGGUAUAAUGGAGGACAAGGAUAUAAUGAAAACUACAAUGGAGGAAGAGGAUAUGCUGAAAGAGACGCAUCAAAGAUAACCUGUUAUAGAUGUGACAAGGUUGGCCACUUUGUUGCACAAUGCCCGGAGCUUCUUCUCAAAUUACAAGAGGCUCAUGAAACCGACAAUACAGAGACACAAGAAGCUGAUGAACUCAUGAUGCAUGAGGUGGUGUUUUUAAACGAGAAGAAUGUCUUACCUGAAAAAUACGAAACAAGUUGUGAAGGAGAAAACAUAUGGUAUCUUGAUAAUGGAGCAAGCAACCAUAUGACUGGAGAUAGAAGAUAUUUUUCAAAAAUAGACAACACCAUCACGGGAAAGGUAAGAUUUGGAGAUGAUUCAAGGAUAGACAUCAAAGGAAAGGGUACGAUUUCUUUUACAGAUUGCAAUGGAGAAGCUAGGAAGAUGAUAGAUGUUUACUACAUCCCUGAUUUGAAAAGUAAUAUCAUAAGUUUGGGUCAAGCUACAGAAGCGGGUUGUGACAUAAGGUUACGAGGAGAAGAGUUGACGAUGCAUGAUCAACAUGGAAAAUUACUUGUGAAAUCAAAGAGAUCGAAGAAUAGACUGUACAAGGUUCACAUGGGAAUCAGAAACAAUGCACGCUUGUACCUAUCCUCGACAAGUGAAACAAAGCGCUGGCAUGCUCGGUUAGGGCACAUAAACUUUGAGUCUCUAAAGGGGAUGAUACAAAAGGAGUUAGUACUCGGGCUUCCUAGUAUAAAUGUUGAAAAGAAGUAUGCGGCUCAUGCUUACUUGGCAAGCAAGCGAGGCACCCCUUUCCUAAAGUAACCACAUACCGAGCUGAAAAGAAACUAGAGCUACUCCACGGCGAUUUGUGUGGGCCUAUAACACCGAGAACUCCAAAGGGAAAUAGAUAUAUAUUUGUGGUUAUUGAUGAUAACACAAGAUACAUGUGGACAAUGUUGAUAACGGAGAAGAGUGAAGCAUUCAACAAGUUUAAGAGGCUCAAGGAGGUGAUAGAAAGAGAAACAGGAAAGAAGAUAGGAGUUUUCAGAAAAGAUAGGGGAGGAGAGUUCGUAUCCAGGGAGUUUAACGAGUUCUGUGAAAGUUUUGGCCUCAAACGACACCUCACGGCACCAUACACACCGCAACAGAGCGGAGUUGUGGAGCGAAGAAACAGAACAUUGUUAGAGAUGGCGAGAAGCAUCCUUAAACAUAUGCAUAUGCCAAACUACCUUUGGGGAGAAGCUAUACGACAUUCAACAUAUUUACUAAACCGUGUGGCCACUCGUGCCUUGAAAGAGAAGACUCCGUAUGAAGGGUUUCGUAACAAGAAGCCAAAUAUUAGCCAUCUACGAGUGUUCGGUUGCAUAGCUUAUUCAAAAACAGAUAAAAAGCUCUUGAAGAAAUUAGAUGAUCGAGCAAGAAUGUUAGUAAACUUAGGCACAGAGCCAGGAUCAAAGGCUUAUCGCCUACUAGAUCCACAAACUCAGAAGAUAGUGGUAAGCAGAGAUGUAGUGUUUGAUGAGUCAAGAGGAUGGAAUUGGAGUGAGGUCACCACGAAAAACCAGAGCAUCGAAGACUUCACGAUAUCCAUAGGAGAGUUUGGUAAUCACGGAGUCGAUGAUCAUAUUGAGAGAGAGGAACGGCUGCGUCUAAAGCACGCUACUAACGAAGAAGAAGAAACAGCACCUGAGAGUGUAGCGAUUACUGAUGACCAAGAAGAGAUAAUAGAAGAAGAAACACAAGUGUUAAGAAGAUCGGAGAGGCAACACAACAAGCCAAAGUACCUCGACGAUUAUAUUCUACUUGCCGAAGAACUUGGUGAAGAGAUAUUGAUGUACCUGAAUCAUGAGCCACGAAAUUGGAAUGAAGCUAAGGAAUCAAAGGAGUGGAGACGAGCCUGUGAGGAAGAGAUCGUCUCCAUCGAGAAGAAUGAUACAUGGAUCUUAGUUGAGCUGCCGUAUGGUGCCAAAGCCAUUGGCCUUAAGUGGGUGUUCAAGAUCAAACGCAACGCAGAUGGAAGCAUCAACAAAUACAAAUCAAGGCUAGUGGCUAAAGGAUAUGUGCAGCGUCACGGAAUUGAUUUUGAUGAGGUAUUCGCACCAGUAGCACGUCUUGAAACAAUAAGACUUCUUGUUAAUCUAGCAGCUACGAAUGGAUGGGAGGUGCAUCACUUGGAUGUUAAAACAGCAUUCCUACAUGGAGAGCUAAAAGAGACUGUUUAUGUUAUGCAACCUGAGGGUUAUGAAAAGAAAGGAGAAGAAGGAAAGGUGUAUAAGCUUAACAAAGCACUAUAUGGAUUAAGGCAAGCUCCACGGGCGUGGAACAAUAAACUAAACCAGAUACUCUGCGAGCUUCAAUUUAAAAAGUGCUCUAAGGAGCCUUCGGUGUAUCGCAAGUUAGAAGAAGGAAAGCUAUUAAUUGUUGCAGUUUACGUGGAUGAUCUGUUCGUGACUGGUACAAACCGAAAGAUGAUCAAAGAGUUCAAGGAUAAUAUGUCAAGCAAGUUCGACAUGAGUGAUUUAGGCAAGCUUACUUACUAUGUUGGCAUAGAAGUGUGCCAAUACGAGAAUGGGAUCUCAUUAGUACAAAGAAGCUAUGCAUCGAAGAUUUUAGAAGAAGAUGGAAUGGACAAAUGCAAUCCUGUCCAAACUCCGAUGGAACUCGGUCUAAAGUUGUCAAAAGCAGAACACGAGAAAGAGAUUGACGCGACAAGAUUCAGAAGGAACAUAGGAUGCCUACGUUACCUUCUUCACACGCGACCUGACUUAUCCUAUAGUGUUGGAGUUCUUUCAAGAUUCAUGCAGAGUCCAAGAGAAUCACAUGGUACCGCAAUGAAACAAGUACUAAGAUAUCUACGGGGAAGUAUUUCGUAUGGCCUAACGUUCGAGAGGAGUUCACUCAAGGUUCCAAAGCUUAUAGGGUACAGCGACAGUAGCUAUGAGUCUGAUCCAGAUGAUGGAAAAAGCACGACAGGCCAUAUAUUCUAUCUUGGAGAGAGUCCAAUCACGUGGAGUUCACAAAAGCAAGACACAGUGGCUCUAUCAUCCUGCGAAGCCGAAUUCAUGGCAGGAACAGAGGCCGCAAGGCAGGCCAUUUGGUUACAAGACCUAUUAAGUGAGAUCAUGGAUCAACCAAGCGAGAGAGUCACCAUUCUAAUUGAUAACCAAUCUGCAAUUGCGUUAACAAGAAACCCGGUGUUCCAUGGAAGAAGCAAACAUAUACAUAAGAGAUAUCAUUUUAUAAGAGAAUGUGUUGAAAAUGGACAGAUAGCAGUCGAGCACGUUCCCGGUGAGAAGCAGAAGGCGGAUAUCUUGACAAAAGCAUUGGGAAGAAUCAAGUUCAAAGAAAUGAGAGAGUUCAUUGGUAUGAAAGACUUAGAGACUGAAAGCUUCAAGCUUAGGAGGGACAAUGUUGAAGUAAGCUUGAAGAUAGCUUGAGAAAGAAGCAAACCUAAAUCCUAAAAGAAGUGGGAGAAUAAAGAUAAGGGUUAUCUUUAGUUUAGAUUUAUCUAAACAUAUGUAUUUACUAAUAGGAUUAGGAAAAACAUAGAGAUAUAAAUAGAGAGAUCAUGAGAUGAUCCAAUGUGUGAGUUUUAUGAGUUUGAGAGUUUUGAGGUUUUGAGUUAGUUUCCUCAAGAGAUAAAUAAGAAGAGUUCUUAUUGUGUGUGUUCAUACAUUCAUACUAUCGAAGCUCAAUUUCUAGAGAGAUAGCAUAAAAGAAGCGAAAAUCAGAGAGAAAUAUAUUGCGGGAAGAUAAGGGAUGUGAAGAGCUACAGUAAUGAAUUCGAUUUGAUCAAUCAUUGUUGUGGAUGGGAGCCGUUAUACCGGCGACUUGGAAUGCAUGCGGUGAGGGUAGGAUCACAGUAGACGAAGAGACAGGACACCGUAGAUGGGAGAUAAGUUUGUUCGUAAAUUUUUGUGGCCAGAGAAUGGGCUUAUGUUACGCAAACAAUACUAAAAAAACUCAGGCCUGUAAAAUGCAUACGGGUUGGUUUUGCUUUGUCCAGUUUGUAAAUGACCUGGAGUUUAAGCAGACGUGGCAACUCAUAAGUGGUGUGAAUGAAAUUGUCGACGUGAAUAGGCAUUAGGCUGAUAAGUUGGUUAUUUAGCCCUUUUAUUGUAAGAUAAACUUAAAACCCGAUGAGAUGAAACACAAAAACUCUAUGGAUAUAAUUGCAAAGUCGGAAUAUUCAUGAACGUGUAUUGUCUUUUUGAAUUUAUUUAAAUUGAUUUUUUUUAUCAAUAUGUUGGUCCCUGUGGUUGAUUUGGUUUAAAGAACGUUUAAAGUUCAAGAAAAACAAAGAAUGUAAUCCAUGGAAUAAACCAAACGAUAUAUUUUAUAAGGCAAAUCUCCAAAAUAGUACAUUUCUAAAUUUAUGUCACAAAAAUAGUUCUCAAAAACUAAAAUGACCAAAAUAUCAUUUUAUCUUUUGAAAAAUUUAAAUUUUAUUUAUUUUUCAAAAUUUGAAAUCUUAUCCCAAAACUCCACUCCCCAACUCUAAACUCUAAACCCUAAACCCUAAAUCUUAAACCCCACCCCUUAACUCUAAACCCUAAACCCCACCCCUAAACUCUAAACCCUAAACCCUAAAUCCUAAAUCCUAAACCCUAAAUCCUAAACCC
rnacentral:lncRNA from 1 species